rnacentral:lncRNA from 1 species
CAGCAUUGAACUAACUCUAUUGACAUAAUCUUCAUUCCUCUACUGCUAAUUUAUUCUGUUUGCACCUUUUUUAUGUGCAGAGAAUACUGGAACACAAAAACACCUGGAACUUAUCAUUGCAUAUGCCGUGACAAGCCUCUUUUUGAGUAAGUCUUUUGAUUUUGUUAGGAAUUUCCAACUAAAAUCAAUUGAACCUAUAACAUUCCAAACAUUUAUCAAUGCAUGAUCCUGUCCUCCAGAUCAUUGACUAAAUUUGACAGAACUGGCUGGCCUUCAUAUUAUCAGCCUACAGGAAACAAUGUGAAGUCAAAAUUAGAUCUGUCCAUAAUUCUUAUUCCUCGCAAAGAAGUUCUGUGUGCUGUUUGCAAUGCUUAUCUUGACCAUGUCUUUUGUGAUGGUCCUCCGCCUACAGGAAAGCGUUACAGCAUAAAUAGGUACACAUUUUUUUUUAAUGCCGGGUUGUGUCUAAUCUUAUGCAAUUUAUUUUUUAUGGACUUCAUUUUAACUAUGAUUAUUUUGCAGCGAUCCCCUAAAACUGAAACCCAAGCAAGAAAUAGUAUUAAGCUUGCAGUUGCAAAGCACAGACGAGACACUUGCAAUUGAAAAAAAUGAAACAACAUUUUCACUGACUUUGGUGUAUGAUGUUCAAUUAAUUUGGUGUGAUAGAAAUCCUUGUAAUUUUGUAGUAUUCAUGUAAGCCUGAUGGCGCAAAGGCAUGAUAAAAUCCUUGCAACAAGUUAUUGGCAUAUAAAACCCUUAAAAAAUACAUAUGAAGUUGUAUAAAACAAGUUAAAGAUUAUUUUAUUUUAUUUUAUUAAUAUCUUGAAGAUAAAACAUCUUGUUCAAGGUUGAGCCAAGUAAUAUAUAAGAAAGAAUUUAUAAUUAAUAAUACAUUAAUUUAGUCAGAAUAACACAUUAAAUUAAACAUAUAAUUGAGAACAAUAUUGUAGCUAACUUUAAUCCUUGCUUAUAGGUAUCCGUUAUUCAAACUUUUAGGGAAGAAAUGUUACAUGAUAUAAACAAAUGAUUACAUAAAAAAAAGAGAGAUAUUUGCUGAUGAGUACAAUAAAAACAUUUGUUAAUAAAAUUUUACUAACGAGUCUUUUUAUAUAUUUAUAAAAUUAGAUAACAUAUUAUUUAUAAUAUUUUUUAUGUUAUAUAUAAUAAUUAUUGUGAUAAUUUUAAUGUAUCUGAAAAAAUAUUUUCGUACCACGGGAAUAUUAAAGAAUGACCUAAACAAUGGUUUGGCAAAAUCCUAAGUACUGAAAUAACUUCAAAAAUGUUAUAAGCUGUGAUGAUUAAAUGUAAAAUACAAAUAUAUAAACUUUUUAAAAAUUUUUUAGGUUAAAAUAAUAAAAGUUCAUAAAUUUUAUUUCUUUAUUUAAAUAAACUUUUUUUAUUUUUAUUGAACUUAAAUAAUUUUUUUUUAUUUUACAUUCGAAUAAACUUUUAAAUUUUAAGUUUAUCUAAAUAUAUAUUUAUCAUCUAAUUUGUAUUUAAAUGUAUUAUUUAAAUACAAUAAAAAUAUAAAAUGUUAUCUAAAUAAAAUAAUAAAAUUCAAAAACCCUUUUAAUAUUUUAGUCAAAAUUUAAAUGACAUUUAUUACUAUCAUAAUAUUUUUGUAGUAGCAAAUUUCUUGAGACCGAAAGAAAAUAUUAAAUAAAAGAAAAAGAAAAAUCAAAUGAAAAACGCAAUAGAUGAGCGAAAAUUUCAAUGUAUGUUUGAUGGCGCAUGCAAUUGUAUAACCGCAACAUCUUUCUUGUCAGAAAACAAAAGUGUCGGUAAUACAUAUUUAGAAAAAUAAAAAACUAAUUUUUAUGGAUCCUGUGAUGUAAGCAAUGACAUAUAAUCUCAGUAUCCUUUUAUGGUAAAAGAAAGUCCUAGAAGAAAUCUUUAUAGAAAGUCCGCCAACUUCCCUAAACUAAUUUUUAUGGAUCCUGUGACAUAAGAAAUUACAUAUAGUCUGAGCAUUCCUUUAUGGUAAUAGAAGGCCCUCGAAGCACCAACGCUCCUAAAUUUUUUUGUCUAUAAAUACAUUUUGACAAACUCUUUUUCAUCGAAAACCAAAACCAAAACCAAAACAAAACCAAGGGUCUUUUUGAAGUCUUUUUAAAUUUUGAGUUCAAUUUCAAAUCUUUGAUUGUUUAGUUUAUCAAAAUGUCGGAGGAAGUAGUCUUGUUGGAUUUCUGGCCAAGUCCAUUUGGAAUGAGAAUGAGGAUUGCUUUGGCUGAGAAAGGGAUAAAAUAUGAGUCAAAGGAAGAAGAUUUGAGGAACAAGAGUGAUUUGCUUUUGCAGAUGAAUCCUAUUCACCAAAAAAUCCCUGUUCUUAUCCAUAAUGGUAAACCUGUUUGUGAGUCACUCAUCCAGGUUCAGUACAUUGAUGAGGUUUGGCAUCAUAAAUCUCCUUUGCUUCCUUCUGAUCCUUACCAGAGAGCUAUUGCUAGAUUCUGGGCUGAUUUUGCUGACAAGAAGGUACUUUCGUUUUUUACUUUUUUCUACUUUUUCUAAGUCUAAGUUUUCUUUGAUUUAGUCAGACUGACUUUGAAUUUUGGAGGGUUUUCUUUUUAUUUAUAAACCAGCAGUCUACUAAUUAAGAAUUGACUGCUAAUGCUAGUGUGAUAACUUUAAUCAAUAGACUGUUUUGAUUUGAGAUACUUUUGAGUUUCAAUUUUUUUUCUUUUUUUUGGGGUAAUUUUGAUAAUUAGAUGCCUAAUCAAGUCAAGUUGUGGUGAAUAGUAUAUUUUGGUAUAAUUGAUAUUGAAUCAAGCAGUGAGAGAUAACAUUGUUUAAUAAAAAUGCAGAUGUCUGACCUUGGGAGGAAAAUAUGGGCAACUAAGGGAGAAGAACAGGCAAAUGCAAAGAAAGAAUUUAUUGAGAGCCUGAAGCUGUUGGAAGGAGAGCUUGGAGACAAGCCUUACUUUGGUGGAGAAAAUCUUGGUUAUGUAGAUGUUGUCUUUGUCCCAUUUUACAGCUGGUUUUAUGCCUAUGAGAUGUGUGGUGACUUCAGCAUUGACGCAGAGUGCCCCAAACUGAUGGCAUGGGCUAAAAGGUGUCUGGAAAAGGAGAGUGUAUCCGAGUCUCUUCCUGACCAAGAAAAAGUCUAUGGCUUUGUUUUGCAAAUGAAGAAAGCCUUUGGAAUUGAGUGAAAUUGUGGAGGGGCUACUUUUAGUUUUCAUGUUUUAUGGUUGGUUUGAAUAAAUGGGCAUUUAGUUGUGCCUCGUUGUUUUGUGUUGUUAGGGUGAAUGUUUUCUUUUCUUUUUUUUUUUUUCCUGUUCUGAAAGAUAGUCAGAGCACUUAGAUUUGGUUGUGAUUCUGAUUUGAAAUUUGAAGUUAUUAAAAAGUAAUACGUUUCCUAAAUAUGUUUUACCUGGUAUUUUUUGUGCACAUAUUCUUUUUAAUUUCAGUUUUUUUUUAUCAAUUUGGCAACUUGGCUAUCCAUGUGGAUCGCAAAAAUUUCUGGUCUACUAUGACAAGAAUAGGAUAAAUUAUCAUUGAUGUCAAUUUUUUUUUAUUGUAAGAAUGUUUUCCUAAUUUCAACGAAAAAAUUGCAAGCCAUCUCUUUGUGAUUUUGUUUUAAAGCAUACUCAACUAAAUUUUGCUGAGUAAUGUAUAAGUCAAAAUCAAUUUCAAUUGAUGCUAAAAUUUGGACCUAAUUAACCAUUGCAAGGUUUUUCAAUAAAAAAUUACUUUUUGGUUUUUUUUUUUUUAUCUCUUUAAAUUCUAAUGUGAUGUAAUCAUCAUAUCAAUGUAUUAAGUAAUAAAUAGUUUAAGAAUUUUACAUAACAAUGCUCUUAGAUUGUUGAUAAUAAUCAUAUAUUAUUUUAUAUGAUGAUUAGAUUUUCAUCCAAAAACGUAAAAAAAAAUUUUAUCAAUGAGAGUUAUUUUUCAAAUCAUUUUAAAAUAAAUUAAAUUUCUGAUUGGUAUCCAUCAAAAUAUGUCUCUUUUUUUAUAAAUAAAAUUUCACUUUUUAAUCAUUUUAUACAAGACAAUUUAUAUGAUUUUAAAUACGAACAUGUUAAUAAUUUUGAAUCAUACUCAUGAGAACUUGUUCAUACCUUAUAUCUUUUGUAGAACAAUGAUUCUUAUUUUAUAAUUUUUUUUUCAUUCAAUAAAAAAUUAAAAACGUUGGUUUCUUUUAAAUAACCUUAAUAAUAAUAAUAAGGUUAUUUUGAAAUUUUUUUUAUUUUCAAUGAUUUUUUUAUGCAAUAUAAAGAAAUGAUUUAUAAUAUUAUAUUAAUCAUGAUGAUCUAAAAUCAUUACUCAUCAAAUUAUUUUAAUAAUUUUAUAAUCACGAUAAUUAGAUCACUACAAUUAUUUUAAAAGUGAUAAAAAAAAAAAAACUAUUCUUCAACUUUAACUUUCUCAUGAUUUUUUGAGGUUUAAUAUGUUUGGUGUGAUAAUGGGCUCUUAAGCCCAAAAAAAUUAGAUUUAAAGGCGAUGGAUAAGCCUACGAAUUAGUGCUAUUUUCAUUGAAUCGUUUUUGUCUUAAAUUUUGUAUUUCCUCACAUGAUAUAUAUAUAUAUAUAUAUAGUUAUUGAAUGAAUUCACAAAUGAUCUAUUAAUUCAUGAGUGAGUAAAUUAAUUCAUAAAUGAAAUAUUAUAAUUAUAAUUAAAAUAAUUAUUGUAUGCUAUAUUAGGGAAUACAAAUAUUUUUUGGGUAACUUGGCUGUCCAUAUGGACCGCAAAUUUCUAGCCAAAUUUGACAAGAACAGGAUGAAUUAUCGUUGAUGUCAUUUUUUUUCUAUUGUAAUUAAGAAUGUUUUCCUAAUUUCAACUAAAAAAAUUGCAAGCCACGUCUUUGUAAUUUUGUUUUAAUGAAUACUUAAUUAAAUUUUGAGGGGAUAGUAGAAAUCAAAAUAAUUUUGAAUAGAUGUCUAACUUUGGACCUAAUUAACCAUUGCAAGGUUUUUCAAUAAAAAGUUUACAUCUUGGUUUUUUUUUUAAAUGUUUUAGAAUAUCUUUAACAUCGAAAGUGAUGUAAUGAUUAUAUAACUGUAUUUAAGUAAUAAACAAUUUCAUAAUCUUACAUGAUAGUAAUUUUAAAUUAUUGAUAAUAAUUAAAUAUUCUUUUAUAUAAUAAUUUAAUUUUCAUAUAAAAAAUAUAAGAAAAUUUUAUCAUUGAGAGUGAGAAUGAUUUUUAAAAUCAUUUUAAGAUAAAUUUAUUUUCAAAUUGGUAUCCAUCAAAAUAUGUUUCUCUUUAAAUUUUUUUAAAAAACAAACUUUCACUUUUUUAAAUCAUUUUGUACAAGAUAAUUUAUAUGACUUUAAAUAUGAACAUUAUAAUAAUUUUGAAUUAUACUCAUAAGAACUUAUUCAUACCCUAUAAUUUUUUUUUUCUAAAUGGUAUAAAAAGCCCUUUGAACUAUAAUUAAAAUAUCAUUCCAGCUUUUAUUUUUUUAUUGUAACCAAUCAAUUCUUUCAACAUUUACAUGCAUCCAAUUAAAUUUUAUUUGGAUGAAAAUGUUUCCUUAAUUUUUUUUUGUCAACUAAUAUAAAAUUUCUUGUGAAAUCUAUAAAAUAGAUGAAAGUUUAUCACGUAAUAUAAUUAAUAUUUAAAAAUUAAAUAAAAUAAGCUUUUCUUUUUUUUCUCUCUCUAUUUUCUUUGUUUCCUUUUCUCUAAGAUCUCUAUAAAGAAUUAAUUGACUAAAUUUUAUUACAUAAUUAGAUUUUAUUCAUUUAAAAAUUUAUCUUUUUAUUGAGUCAGUAAAAAGUUUCAGUUCAAAGUUAAUCCCAGCCGAUAUUUAGGAUUUCUAUCAACACCUUUACUUGGCGUGGAUGUUCCAUAAAGAAGCGUGGAGUUAAGGAUGCAUAUGUUAAGCAUCUUUGGUUUUGGGUAUGUAGAGUAUUUAUUUUAUUGAUAGGGUUUUCUAUGCUUAUGGAUGUUUUGGAUAUUGAAAAUAUUUUUUUUGUUAGGGAAUAUUGACUCAAAUAUCAUAAACGAUUUAUUUGGAAUUAAAUUAACUAAAUAUUACUUGAUGAAUAAAAAUAUUUGCAAGAGAAGAAUUUUAAGAGAAAAUAUAUUUUUAAUAGACAAGUUUAUAUGCUUAUAAAUAAAUAAAAUUUCUAUUAGGUUAAGUAUGAGAAAAAAUAUAAGAGAGCUAUAGGGUUUAUGGGAUAAACACUCCCUAAGACUAUUGAAAAUUUACGAAAGAGACUGAAAAAGUUUACAUAGGUAUAGUGCCUUGGUGCAUAUAGAUAUGCGUUUAUUUGGAUUAAGAAUACUCCGUGUAAAUUGUUUGCUUUUGUAUCCAACACAUUCUUUGGACAUUUUGGAAGCAAAAGUUAAGGACCAAAAGUGGUGGUGAAAGGAGCCAAAUUUGUUUUUGGCCUUCCAAAAGUUUUCUCUUUUAGCAAGGGAUCUAUUUACAAUGCAAUUUCGGAGAUGUCUUCUGGUGUCAUGUAGCCGUGAACAUAUAGUCAUUGUAUAAAGUGGCCUCUGAACUCAAAACUUGUUCAAUUAUGUAUCUAAAUCUUAAAAAUUGUGUGCAUUUUGGUCGGAUAACUGAUAGAAUUGAUUAAUGUGCUAAGUAGAUAGAUGGGUUUGUUAACUAUAGAACAGUACAAAGUAUAUUUUAUUAAACACUAUGUGUAAGCAUUUUGAUGGCAUGUGAUGCCCAUGUGGACUGGAAACUUGCCUGGAUUAUAACACAUAUCUCACUUGCCUGAUGGAUAUAUUCAUGCAAUAAAAUAACUGCUUGAGAUCUAGUUUAUUGCAAACUGCAACAUACCUGACACCUUGUGUGAAAUUUCUUUUUUUCUCUAACAAGUUUGACUAGCUGUUCUACAUAUAAUUAACAGAAAGGCAGGUCAAUGCCGCUAGAAUUGAAAGUGUAGGCACCGGAUGGAAUACUUCCUUUUUUCAGUUUUAAGGAUCAUGUUACUCGUUGAUUAUUGGUGUAGGGGUCAUUUAUAGCGUCAUUUCUUUUAUUAUCACAUGAAAUCCCACCAGUAUGGUGGCUGUAAAGUGUCAAUAAAUUACCUAAAUCCUGCCGAGUCACAAUCUAAUCAAUCUGCAUUAUCAACACUUGGUACGGAACAUGUAAAAAUCAUUUAGCUCCAUUUGAUUAGUGCUUUUGUUUUUUUUACUUUUUCUAUUUGUUUUUUUAUUUUCAGUAUUGUUUUUUUUUCUUUCUCAUUUUGUAUUGAAGAAAAUAAAAAGCAAAUAACAAAAGCGUAAAUAAAAGGCAGCCUUAAAUUGGAAGUGCUAAAAUACUUGGUGGACGUAAAAUGAUUGUUUUCAAUCUUUGUCUGCAUUGAACUAACUGCUAUUGAUAUAAUCUUCAGUCCUCUACUGCUAAUUUAUUCUGUUUGCACCUUUUGAAUGUGCAGAGAAUACUGGAACACAAAAACACCUGCAACUUAUCAUUGCAUAUGCCGUGACAAGCCUCUUUUUAAGUAAGUCUUUGAUUUUGUUAGGAAUUUCCAACUAAAAUCAAUUGAACCUACAACAUUCCAAACAUUUAUCAAUACAUGAUCCUCUCCUCCAGAUCAUCGACUAAAUUUGACAGAACUGGCUGGCCUUCAUAUUAUCAGCCUAUAGGAAACAAUGUGAAGUCAAAAUUAGAUCUGUCCAUAAUUCUUAUGCCUCGCGAAGAAGUUCUGUGUGCUGCUUGCAAUGCUCAUCUUGACCAUGUCUUUUAUGAUGGUCCUCCACCUACAGGAAAGCGUUAAAGCAUAAAUAGGUAAAACAUUUUCUUUUAAUGCCGGGUUGUGUCUAAUCUUAUGCAAUUUAUUCUUUAUGGACUUCAUUUGAGCUAUGGUUAUUUUGCAGCGAUCCCCUAAAACUGAAACCCAAGUAAGAAAUAGUAUUAAGCUUGCAGUCGCAAAGCACAGACGAGACACUUGUGAUUGAAAAAAAUGAAAUAAUAUUUUCACUGAAUUUGGUGUAUGAUGUUCAACUAAUUUCAUGUGACAGCAAAUCCAUGUAAUUUUGUAGUAUUCAUGUAAGCCUGAUGGCACAAAGGCAUGAUAAAAUCCUUGCAACAAGUUAUUGGUAGUAUAAAACCCUUAAAAAAUGCAUAUGAAGUUGUAUAAAACAAAUUAAAGAUUAUUUUAUUUUAUUAAUAUCUUGAAGAUAAAACACCUUGUUCAAGGUUGAGCCAGUAAUAUAUCAGAAAAAAUUUAUAAUUAAUAAUACAUUAAUUUAGUAAGAAUAACACAUUAAAUUAAAUAUAUAAUUGAGAACAAUAUUGUACCUAACUUCAAUCUUUACUUAUAGGCAUCCGUUACUCAAACUUAGGGAAGAAAUGUUACAUGAUAUAAACAAAUGAUUACAUAAUAAAAAGAGAGAUAUUUGCUGAUGAGUACAAUAAAAACAUUUUUUAAUAAAAUUUUACUAACGAGUCUUUUAUAUAUUUAUAAAAUUACAUAACAUAUUAUUUAUAGUAUUUUUUAUGUUAUAUAUAAUAAUUAUUGUGAUAAUUUUAAUGUAUCUGAAAAAAUAUUUUCGUACCACGGGAAUAUUAGAAUGACCUAAACAAUGGUUUGGCAAAAUCCUAAGUACUGAAAUAACUUCAAAAAUGUUAUAAGCUGUGAUGAUUAAAUGUAAAAUACAAAUAUAUAAACUUUUUAAAAAAUUUUUAGGUUAAAAUAAUACAAGUUCAUAAAUUUUAUUUCUUUAUUUAAAUAAACUUUUUUUUAUUUUUAUUGAACUUAAAUAAUUUUUUUUUAUUUUACAUUCAAAUAAACUUUUAAAUUUUAAGUUUAUCUAAAUAUAUAUUUAUCAUCUAAUUUGUAUUUAAAUGUAUUAUUUAAAUACACUAAAAAUAUAAAAUGUUAUCUAAAUAAAAUAAUAAAAUUCAAAAACCCUUUUAAUAUUUUAGUCAAAAUUUAAAUGACAUUUAUUACUAUCAUAAUAUUUUUGUAGUAGCAAAUUUCUUGAGACCGAAAAAAAAAAUAAAAGAAAAAGAAAAAUCAAAUGAAAAACACAAUAGAUGAGCGAAAAUUUCUGUGUAUGUUUGAUGGCGCAUGCAAUUGCAUAACAGCAACAUCGUUUCUUGUCAGAAAACGAAAGUGUCAGUAAUACAUAUUUAGAAAAAUAAAAAACUAAUUUUUAUGGAUCCUGUGAUGUAAGCAAUGGCAUAUAAUCUGUGUAUCCUUUUGUAGUAAAAGAAAGUCCACCAACUUCCCUAAACUAAUUUUUGUAGAUCCCGUGACAUAAGCAAUUACAUAUAGUUUGAGUAUUCUUUUAUCGUAAUAGAAGGCCCUCGAAGCACCAACGCUCCUAAAUUUUUUUGUAUAUAAAUACACUUUGACAAACCCUUUUUCAUCGAAAACCAAAACCAAAACCAAAACAAAACCAAGGGUUUUUUUUUAAGUCUUCUUAAAUUUUUAGUUGAGUUUCAAAUCUGUGAUUGUUUAGUUUAUCAAAAUGUCGGAGGAAGUAGUUGUGUUGGAUUUCUGGCCAAGUCCAUUUGGAAUGAGAAUGAGGAUUGCUUUGGCUGAGAAAGGGAUAAAAUAUGAGUCAAAGGAAGAAGAUUUGAGGAACAAGAGUGAUUUGCUUUUGCAGAUGAAUCCUAUUCACCAAAAAAUCCCUGUUCUUAUCCAUAAUGGUAAACCUGUUUGUGAGUCACUCAUCCAGGUUCAGUACAUUGAUGAGGUUUGGCGUCAUAAAUCUCCUUUGCUUCCUUCUGAUCCUUACCAGAGAGCUAUUGCUAGAUUCUGGGCUGAUUUUGUUGACAAGAAGGUACUUUCGUUUUUUACUUUUUUCUAAGUUUUCAUUGAUUUAGUCAGACUGACUUUGAAUUUUGGAGGGUUUUCUUUUUAUAUAUAAACAAACAGUCUACUAAUUAAGCAUUGACUGCUAAUGCUAGUGUGAUAACUUUAAUCAAUAGACUGUUUUGAUUUGAGAUACUUUUGAGUUUCAAUUUUUUUUCUUUUUUUUGGGGUAAUUUUGAUAAUUAGAUGCCUAAUCAAGUCAAGUUGUGGUGAAUAGUAUAUUUUGGUAUAAUUGAUAUUGAAUCAAGCAGUGAGAGAUAACAUUGUUUAAUAAAAAUGCAGAUGCCUGACCUUGGGAGGAAAAUAUGGGCAACUAAGGGAGAAGAACAGGCAAAUGCAAAGAAAGAAUUUAUUGAGAGCCUGAAGCUGUUGGAAGGAGAGCUUGGAGACAAGCCUUACUUUGGUGGAGAAAAUCUUGGUUAUGUAGAUGUUGUCUUGGUCCCAUUUUACAGCUGGUUUUAUGCCUAUGAGAAGUGUGGUGACUUCAGCAUUGAAGCAGAGUGCCCCAAACUGAUCGCAUGGGCUAAAAGGUGUCUGGAAAUGGAGAGUGUAUCCGAAUCUCUUCCUGACCAAGAAAAAGUCUAUGGCUUUGUUUUGCAAAUGAAGAAAGCCUUUGGAAUUGAGUGAAAUUGUGGAGGGGCUACUUUUAGUUUUCAUGUUUUAUGGUUGGUUUGAAUAAAUGGGCAUUUAGUUGUGCCUCGUUGUUUUGUGUUGUUGGGGUGAAUGUAUUCUUUUCUUUUUUUUUUUUCCUGUUCUGAAAGAUAAUCUUACAUGAUAGUGAUUUUAAAUUAUUGAUAAUAAUUAAAUAUUCUUUUGUAUAAUAAUCUAAUUUUCAUAUAAAAAAUAUGAGAAAAUUUUAUCAUUGAGAGAGAGAAUGAAAUUUAAAAUCAUUUUAAGAUAAAUUUAUUUUCAAAUUGGUAUCCAUCAUAAUAUGUUUCUCCUUAAAUUUUUUUAAAAAACAAACUUUCAGCUUUUAAAUCAUUUUAUACAAAAUAAUUUAUAUGACUUUAAAUAUGAACAUGUUUAUAAUUUUGAAUUAUACUCAUAAGAACUUAUUCAUACCUUAUAAAAUUUUUUUCUAAAGGGUAUAAAAAGCCCUUUGAACUAUAAUUAAAAUAUCAUUUUAGCUUUUAUUUUUUAUUAUAAUCAAUCAAUUCUUUCAACAUAGAUUUGCAUCCAAUUAAAUUUUAUUUGGAUGAAAAUGUUUCUUUAAAUUUUUUUGUCAACUAAAAUAAAAUUUCAUGUGAAAUCUAUAAAAUAGAUUAAAGUUUGUCACGUAAUAUAAUUAAUAUAUUUUAAAAUUAAAUAAAAUCAGCUUUUCUUUUUUUUUUUUCUCUCUAUUUUCUUUGUUUCCUUUUCUCUAAGAUCUCUAUAAAGAAUUAAUUGACUGUAAAUCAAAAAUUAAUUGACUAAAUUUUGUCGCAUAAUUAGAUUUCAUCCAUUUAAAAAUUCAAUUUUUAACUAAAUUAGUAAGUUAAUCCCAGCUGAUCUAUCAGCACCUUUACUUGGUGUGGAUUUUCCAUAAAGAAGCGUGGAGGUAUGGCUGCAUAUGUCAAGCAUCUUUGGUUUUGGGUGUGUAGUGUAUUUAUUAUAUUGAAUGGGUUUUUUUUAUGCCUGUGGAUGUUUUGGAAAUUGGAAAUAUUUUUUUUUGUUACGAAUAUUAACUCAAAUCUCAUAAAUGAUUUAUUUGGGAUUAACUAGAUAUUAUUUGAUAAAUACUUAUAACAGGAGAAUUUUAAAAGAAAAAAUAUUCUUGACAGGCAGAUUUAUAUGCUUAUAAAUAAGUAAAAUUUCUAUUGAGUUAAGUAUGAGAAAAAAAUAUAAGAGAGUUUAUGAGAUAGACACUCUAUAGGAUUGCUGGAGAUUUACGAAAGAGAUUAAGAGAGUCUACAUAGAUAUAGUGCAUUGAUGCACAUAGGUAUAUGUUUAUUUGGAUUAAAAAUACUCCAUAGACUAGAGAAGAUUAAAAGAGUUUAUGGGUAUUGAUUAUAAGUGCAUAUUUAUAUGUACAGUAUGAUUGUGAUUCUUCAUAACUAAUGAAUUUUUUUUCAUCCGUUAAUGUAGGUCGAUUAAGCCAAACUGCAUUAAAUUUAUAUUCUUGUGUGGUUGAUUGAUUAUUUGAUUUUGUUUUUGCUAGUGUGAAUAUUCAAUUUGAUUAGAUUGGGAUUUUUCGCCUAAGAAGUGAUAUUAGCAUUGUCAUAAUCCCAACAAGUAGUAUCAGAGUUGAAGGUUGAGACAUAUAAAAAGGUAAGCUCAGAGGAGCUCGAUUUAAGAGAAAAAUUUGAGUUUGUGUUUUGAGAAUUGAUAUAAAUGAAGCUAUGAGGCACAGAAGAGAAGAUAAUUGCAAGACUUCCAUUGUAGUUGGAGCUAAACAUGUCUAGUAUGAAGACUGAUGAUUUGAUAGAAUUUGAGUCAAAGUGGAGAUUAUUGAGAAUAGUGACUCAAAACUCAUAAGUGAUUUGUUUGGGAUUGAAUGUAUAUUACUUGAUGGAUAAAAAUACUUGCAAAAGAAGAAUUCUAAGAGAAAAUAGAUUCUUGAUAAGUAAGUUUGUAUAUUUAUAAAUAAGUGAAGUCUCUAUUGGGUGAGAUAUGAAAAAAAAAAGUUGUAGGGUUUAUAGGAUAAACACUUUAUAGAACUACUGAAAAUUCACAUCUUAUGGAUGUAUAUAUUUGAAUGUGUGUAAGUAGACUAAAAGAGACUGAAAGGAUCCACGUAAAUAUGAUAUAUACGUGCACAUUGGUACGUAUUUGUUUGGGUUGAGAAUACUCCGUGACUAGAAGAGAUUGAGAGGAUUUGAUGAAUGAUUAUUGAUAUGGAUUGUAUGAUUAUAAUUCUCUACAAUUAGUAGAUCUUUUUUUUCAUCUGUGAACAUAGGUUGACUAGAUCAAAUCAUGUUAAAUUAUUAUCUCUUGUGUGGUUGAUUUAUUAUUUGUUUGAUUUUGCUUCUCUUGACAUAAAUGUUCAAUUCAAUUGGAUUGGGGUUUUUCUCCUAAUAAGUAGUAUCAGAGUUAUUAAAAUUCUAACACUUUUAUUGUUUGGUUGAAAGAUAUAACGGUGGAGCUCGUGUUUGUGCUUUUUGAAUAGUACUAUGAGUUUGAAGUUCAUUAAAGCAUCUUCUUUUCCUACGUUUUUUUUUUUUUUUUGAAAAUAUAUUUUUAACAAUGAAACAGCUAAAACAACGUUAAAUCACCUUUUCUGGGGCUUGUUUGGAUGAAUAUAUAUUCUUCUUCUUUCCUGUCAAAACCCUGCACUAUUAUUUUUCCUUUAUUAUUAAAAAUCUGAAUCUGUUUUGCCUCAUGAUAUUUGAUUGUUUGUCCUGUGUAGCGACGGGUGGGGGUGUGGUUGACGUUGCUUCUUUAAGUGACGAAGAAUGGAAGAAGAAGCUUACACCUGAACAAUUUUACAUUACUCGACAAAAAGGGACUGAGAGAGCUUUCACUGGGUAUGUUCUUCUAUUCAUAGAAACUGUACUGCUUUUUCAGGUUCAACUUCUGAAAAUGCACUUUACUUUCUAAGAUAAUGGUUUUAAGUAUUUUCUAAGAAUUCCACUAGUCUGAGAGAUUAGUGUUUCUGCGUACUUUCUUUUCCGAGCUAUAAGAAUUUCUUCCUAGUACUAAUCUAUUUGACAGCCCCUUUUUUGGUACCCUGAAAGUUCGUUUUAGUUGUCCCCCCUAUGCAGGUGUCUUAAUUCAAAUAGAAAAUGUAUGCCAGAAUCUAAUUUCUCUUACUUUUCUCUCGUUUGAUGAAUGAUUUCAAUCUCUUAAUGAUGUGAAUCCUUCUUCUAUCCCUACAAAGUAGGUGGCAAAUACUAGUAUAUUGUGCAGACACAUGCAUGUGAGCAUUUUUCCUAUUGGCGGUGAAAAUAAAAUGGAGUACCAGAGAGUUUGUCUCUAAAUUUCAUCUCUUUUGAAUAUGAAGAUUACAUGGUAUGUAGCUGAGCUAACUUGGUUAGUAAGCUUCUUUUAACGUUUCUGGUGAUUCAUACUUUAAAAAGAAAUAGAGGGAGUCAGACUUCAUAAAAAUAUCAUGCAUGAGCCACCUCCCAAUUUCUGUUCAUACUUUAUUACGGUUUAUUUGGUUAUUACUUUUGAUAGUUACUUUUUAGAUAAAGUUCUAAAGUACAAACACAUAAUAUUAAGCAAAAUCAUAUUUCAUCAAAACAAAAGGGUAAGAUAUAAAACCAAUUCAAAAGUAAUAAAUUCAUACAAGAGCAAAAUCAAGCAUUUUUAUCCGUGAAAGUUGAAUUUUUAUUUUUUAAGCCUUCAGUAAAUUGUUUGCUUUUGUAUUCAACAAAUUUUUGGACAUUUUGCUUCUGGAAGCAAAAGUUAAGGACCAAAAGUGGUGGUGAAAGGAGCCAAAUUUGUUUUUGGCCUUCCAAAAGUUUCUCUUUUAGCAAGGGAUCUAUUUACAAUGCAAUUUAGGAGAUAUCAUCUGAUGUCAUGUAGCCGUGAACAUAUUGUCAUUGUAUAAAGCGGCCUCUGAAAUCAAAAUUGUUCAAUUCGGUAUCUAAAUCUUAAAAAUUGUGUGCAUUUUGGUUGGAUAACUGAUAGAAUUGAUUAAUGUGCUAAGUAGAUAGAUGGGUUUGUUAACUAUAGAACAGCACAAAGUAUAUUUUAUUAAACACUAUGUGUAGGCAUUUUAAUGGCAUGUGAUGCCCAUGUGGACUAGAAACUUGCCUGGAUUAUAACACAUAUCUCACAUGCCUGAUGGAUAUAUUCAUGCAAUAAAAUACCUGCUUGAGAUCCAGUUUGUUGCAAACUGCAACAUACCACCUGACACCUUGUGUGUAAUUUCAAUUUUCUCUAACAAGUUUGACUAGCUGUUCUAUAUAUAAUUAACAGAAAGACCAGUCAAUGCUGUUAGUAUUCAAAGUGUAGGCACCGGAUGGAAUAUUUUCCUUUUUCAGUUUUAAGGAUCAUGUAACUCGUUGAUUAUUAGUGUGGGGGUCAUUUAUAGCUUCAUUUCUUUUAUAAUCACAUGAAAACCUACCAGCAUGGUAGCUGUAAAGUGUCAAUAAAUUACCUAAAUCCUGCCGAGUCACAAUCUACUCCAUCUGCAUUAUCAACACUUGGUAUGGAACAUGUAAAAAUCAUUUAGCUCCAUUUGAUUGGUGCUUUUGUUUUUUUUACUUUUUGCUAUUUGUCUUUUAUUUUCGUUUUUUUUUUUUCCUUUUUCACUUUGUAUUGAAGAAAACAAAAAGCAAAUAACAAAAGCGUAAAUCAAAGCAGCUUUAAAUUUGAAGUGCUAAAAUACUUGGUGGACGUAAAAUGAUUGUUUUCAAUCUUUGUCUGCAUUGAACUAACUGCUAUUGAUAUAAUCUUCAUUCCUCUACUGCUAAUUUAUUCUGUUUGCACCUUUUUUAUGUGCAGAGAAUACUGGAACACAAAAACACCUGCAACUUAUCAUUGCAUAUGCCGUGACAAGCCUCUUUUUGAGUAAGUCUUUUGAUUUUGUUAGGAAUUUCCAACUAAAAUCAAUUGAACCUACAACAUUCCGAACAUUUAUCAAUACAUGAUCCUGUCCUCCAGAUCAUCGACUAAAUUUGACAGAACUGGUCGGCCUUCAUAUUAUCAGCCUAUAGGAAACAAUGUGAAGUCAAAAUUAGAUCUGUCCAUAAUUCUUAUGCCUCGCGAAGAAGUUCUGUGUGCUGCUUGCAAUGCUCGUCUUGAACAUGUCUUUUAUGAUGGUCCUCCACCUACAGGAAAGCAUUACAGCAUAAAUACGUAAAACAUUUUCUUUUAAUGCCGGGUUGUGUCUAAUCUUAUGCAAUUUAUUCUUUACGGACUUCAUUUGAACUAUGGCUAUUUUUCAGUGAUCCCCUGAAACUGAAACCCAAGUAAGAAAUAGUAUUAAACUUGCAUUUGCAAAGCACAGACGAGACACUUGUGAUUGAAAAAAAUGAAAAAACAUUUUCACUGACUUUGGUGUAUCAUGUUCAAUUAAUUAGGUGUGAUAACAAAUCCAUGUAAUUUUAUAGUAUUCAUGUAAGCCUGAUGGCGCAAAGGCAUGAUAAAAUCCUUGCAACAAGUUACUGAAAGUAUAAAACCCUUAAAAAAUGCAUUUCAAAUUGUAUAAAGCAAGUUAAAUAUUAUUUUAUUUUAUUAAUAUCUUGAAGAUAAAACAUCUUGUUCAAGAGGUUGAGCCAAGUAAUAUAUAAUAAAAAAUUUAUAAUUAAUAAUACAUUAAUUUAGUCAGAAUAACACAUUAAGUUAAACAUAUAAUUGAGAACAAUAUUGUAGCUAACUUUAAUCUUUGCUUAUAGGCAUCCGUUACUCAAACUUUUAGGGAAGAAAUGUUACAUGAUAUAAACAAAUGAUUACAUUAAAAAAAGAGUGAUAUUUGCUGAUGAGUACAAUAAAAACAUUUUUUAAUAAAAUUUCACUAACGAGUCCUUUUAUAUAUUUAUAAAAUUAGAUAACAUAUUAUUAUUUAUAAUAUUAUUUAUAUUAUAUCUAAUAAUUAUUGUGAUAAUUUUAAUGUAUCUAAAAAAAUAUUUUCGUAUCACGAGAAUAUUAAAGAAUGCCCUAAACAAUGGUUUAGCAAAAUCCUAACUGAAAUAACUUCAAAAAAUGUUAUAAGCUGUGAUGAUUAAAUGUAAAAUACAAAUAUAUAAACUUUUUAAAAAUUUUUAAGGUUCAAAUAAUAAAAAGUUCAUAAAUUUUAUUUCUUUAUUUAAAUAAACUUUUUUGUUUUUAUUGUACUUAAAUAUUUUUUUAUUUUUUAUUUUACAUUCAAAUAAAAUUUUAAAUUUUAAGUUUAUCUAAAUAUGUAUUUACCAUCUAAUUUGUAUUUAAAUAUAUUAUUUAAAUACAACAAAAAUAUAAAAUGUUAUCUAAAUAAAAUAAUAAAAUUCAAAAACCCUUUUAAUGUUUUAGUCAAAAUUUAACUGACAUAUAUUGCAAUCAUAAUGUUUUUGUAGUAGCAAAUUUCUUGAGACCGAAAGAAAAAAUUAAAUAAAAGAAAAUGAAAAAUGAAAUGAAAAACGUAAUAGAUGAGCGAAAUUUUGUGUAUAUGUUUGAUGGCGCAUGCAAUUGCGUAACAGCAACAUUGUUUCUAGUCAGAAAACAGAAGCGUCAGUAAUACAUAUUUAGAAAAAUAAAAAACUAAUUUUUAUGGAUCGUGUGACGUAAGCAAUGGCAUAUAAUCUCAGUAUCCUUUUUUAGUAAAAGAAACUCCUAGAAUAAAUCUUUAUAGAAAGUCCAUGAACUUCCCUAAACUAAUUUUUAUGGAUCCUGUGACGUAAGCAAUUGCAUAUAGUUUGAAUAUUCUUUUAUGGUAACAGAAGCCCUCGAAGCACCAACGCUCCUAAAUUUUUUUGUCUAUAAAUACACUUUGACAAACUCUUUUUCAUCGAAAACCAAAACCAAAACAAAACCACCGGUUUUUUUUUUUUGAAGUCUUUUUAAAUUUUGAGUUGAGUUUCAAUCUUUGAUUGUUUAGUUUAUCAAAAUGUCAGAGGAAGUAGUUUUGUUGGAUUUCUGGCCAAGUCCAUUUGGAAUGAGAAUGAGGAUUGCUUUGGCUGAGAAAGGGGUAAAAUACGAGUCAAAGGAAGAAGAUUUGAGGAACAAGAGUGAUUUGCUUUUGCAGAUGAAUCCUAUUCACAAAAAAAUCCCUGUUCUUAUCCAUAAUGGUAAACCUGUUUGUGAGUCACUCAUCCAGGUUCAGUAUAUUGAUGAGGUUUGGCAUCAUAAAUCUCCUUUGCUUCCUUCUGAUCCUUACCAAAGAGCUAUUGCCAGAUUCUGGGCUGAUUUUGUUGACAAGAAGGUACUUUUUUUUUGUUUUUUUACUUUUUUCUACUUUUUCUAAGUCUAAGUUUUCUUUGAUUUAGUCAGACUGACUUUGAAUUUUGGAGGGUUUUCUUUUUAUAUAUAAACAGUCUACUAAUUAAGCAUUGACUUAGAAAAAGUUGUGGUGAAUGUUAUUUUUUGGUAUAAUUGAUAUUGAAUCAAGCAGUGAGAGAUAACAUUCAUUCAUUUUCAUAAAUCUCAUCUCACCUGUAUAAACAUUUUCGUAAAUAAUAUAUAACGUGUUGUACCUAAAUUAUUGUUUAAUAAAAAUGCAGAUGCCUGACCUUGGGAGAAAAAUAUGGGCAACUAAGGGAGAAGAACAGGCAAAUGCAAAGAAAGAAUUUAUUGAGAGCCUGAAGCUGUUGGAAGGAGAGCUUGGAGACAAGCCUUACUUUGGUGGAGAAAAUCUUGGUUAUGUAGAUGUUGUCUUGGUCCCAUUUUACAGCUGGUUUUAUGCCUAUGAGAAGUGUGGUGACUUCAGCAUUGAAGCAGAGUGCCCCAAACUGCUUGCAUGGGCUAAAGGGUGUCUGGAAAAGGAGAGUGUAUCCAAGUCUCUUCCUGACCAAGAAAAAGUCUAUGGCUUUGUUUUGCAAAUGAAGAAAGUCUUUGGAAUUGAGUGAAAUUGUGGAGGGGUUUCAUGGUUGAUUUGAAUAAAUGGGCAUUUAGUAGUGCCUCGUUGUUUUGUGUUGUUGGGGUGAAUUUUUUUUUUUUUCCUGUUCUGAAAGAUAGUCAAAGCACUUAGAUUUGCAUGUGAUUCUGACUUGAAAUUUGAAGUUAUUAAAAAGAAAUACAUUUCCUAAAUGUUUUACCUGGUAUUUUUUGUGCACAUAUUCUUGUUAAUUUAAAUGUUUUUAUCAAUUUGGUAACCUGGCUGGUCUACUAUGACAAGAAUAGGAUGAAUUAUCAUUGAUGUCUUUUUUUUUUAUUGUAAGAAUGUUUUCCUAAUUUCAACUAAAAAAAUUGCAAGCCAUCUCUUUGUGAUUUUGUUUUAAAGCAUACUUAACUAAAUUUUGGAGAGGAUUGUAUAAGUCAAAAUCAUUUUCAAUUGAUGCCAAAAUUUGGACCUAAUUAACCAUUGCAAGGUUUUUCAAUAAAAAAUUUAAUUUUUGGUUUUUUUUUAUCUCUUUAAAUUAGAAUGUGAUGUAAUUAUCAUAUCAAUGUAUUAAGUAAUAAAUAAUUUAAGAAUUUUACAUAACAAAGCUCUUAGAUUAUUGAUAAUAAUUAUAUAUUAUUUUAUAUGAUGUUUAGAUCUUCAUCCUAAAGCGUAAAAAAAUUUUAUCAAGGGGAGUAAUUUUCAAAUCAUUUUAGAAUAAAUUAAAUUUCGGAUUGGUGUCCAUCAAAAUAUGUUUCUCUUUUUUUAUAAACAAAAUUUCACUUUUUAAUCAUUUUAUAUAAGACAAUUUAUAUAAUUUUAAAUAUGAAAAUGUUAAUAAUUUUGAAUCGUGCUCAUAAGAACUUGUUCAUACCUUAUAUCUUUUUAUAGAACAAUGAUUUUUAUUUUAUAAUUUUUUUUAUUCAAUAAAAAUUAAUAACGUUGCUUGCUUAAUAAUAAUAAUAAUAAUAAUAAUAAUAAUAAUAAUAAUAAGGUUAUUUUGAUUUUUUUUAAUUUUCAAUGAUUUUUUAUGCAAUAUAAAAAAUUAUUUAUAAUAUUAUAUUAAUCAUGAUAAUCAAAAAUAAUUACUCAUCAAAUUAUUUUAAUAAUUUUAUAACCACGAUAAUUAAAUCACUACAACUAUUUUAAAAGUGAUAAAAAAAAUAAUCUUCAACUUCAACUUUCUAUGAUUUUUGGAGGUUUAAUAUGUUUGGUACGAUAAUGGGCAUUUAAGCCCAAAAAAGGAGUUUUAAAAGGGAUGGGUAUGCCUACGAAUUAGGGUAGACAUUAAAUUUAUCUGAAUGUUAAUCGUGUCUCGAUUGAAUAUUUAUUGGAUAUCAGAUUCUCGAAUUAAGUUUUGAUUGCAAUUCAAUUAGGCUGAGGCCUAAUUUCAAUUUGAUUGGGCUUUUGGUUCGAUUUCAAUUCAAAUAGAUUUGAUUUUGAUUGGGCCUGAAGUCCAAUUUCGCUUUUAAGCGCAAAGCCUGUUUACCUUUUAUUUUAUUAAUUUAUUAAUUAAACAAAAAUACAAAAUACAAAAAUAUAAAAAUACAAAAAUACAAAAAAGUAAAAAAAGGCUGAUGGCAGUGGUGCCUUGCACGGCACCACUAGCCACCUACCCCUCGAUCACCCAUCCCUCUAAUCACCCAUACCCUGCAAACCUUAUCCACCCUAUCAACACUCCUAAAGCCCCAUGCCCAAUCAAUUCUAGAUCUUUACAAAAACCAAUUUGAAAACCCAAAAGCUCAAAGAGAGAAGACUGGAGGCAUUCCCUUUUCUAUGCCCAGACACUGCUCUGGAACUCAUCAGAAACCCCAGUCACACUGCUCUUGAACACCCAGAAACUCUAAGUCUCUCUCACCCAGAACCCCCAAACUCUCACACCCAAACAAUCCAGUCCCUGCCCGUCUCGAAAACCAUGCCUCCAUGCACCCUGCUAGGUACCUUCGACACAAACCAAUCCCCCCACCUAUAAAAAAAUUGAAAAACCCGAAACACCCAACCACAAUAAAAAAAAUAAAAAAAAUUCAUAAAAAAACAAAGAACAGUCCUUCAGUAGGAAGGAACCUAGCACUGAGAGUUCCUUGUGAAAAAAAAGAAAAGGAAAAGUCAGUAAGAAAAAAGAAAUAUCAAAAGUCAAAAAUAAUAAAAAAAAAGUUUUGACGAAACUUUGAAAGUCAAUCUAGGCCAUUUGGGACACUUUCAGGUGAAACCAAGCUCAGAUCUGUGCUCAGAGGGCAAAGAAAAAUUUUUUAGGAGUUUUUGAGAUUUUUUGGUGACCGACGACCGGCGAUUUGCGGUCGACCAACACCAAUGGCGGCCAGAGCGACGGAUGAUGACCGAUCGAUCGUUCUAGAGAGAGAGGAUUUGAGAAAGUAGAGAGAGAAAGGAAAAUGAGAAAAUGAGAGAAAUUUUUUUUUUUUACUUUUAUAAAAAACUGCAAGCCAAAAUAAUGCCAUUUCAUUAAAUGGUCAAAACCACGUCAUUUUGAGCUGAAAGAUUCGCACGUCAGCCCUUGACUCGACCCGAGGUCCACGCACUCGACUCGAUGACCCAUUUCACCUUUAGCUUCUGAUUGGUCUAACUGAACCGACAUCGAAUCACUAAAUGCUACCAGAUUGCCAGACCGUUAACCGGUUAAGUUCAGGUAAAAAAAUUUUUUUUUGAAUUUUUUAAAUAUUAUUUUUGUUAUUAAUAUUUAUGCAUGUUAAAAUGUUUAAAUUUGCUAGAAUAAUUUUUUUUAUAAUGUUAACAAAUAAAAAUAAAUAAUAAAAUAUAUAGUAAAAAUUUGUGAUAAUUUUGUUAUUUUUAAAAUAACUCUUAUAAAAUAAUAAAAAAUAAGAAAAAAUUUUUUUAUCCGACGAUGAGAUUCAAAGGUACUCCGAGUAGUGAUACCUACGAAAUCUCUAUGUGAAAAGAUUUUUUUUAAAUACUACCGAUGUAUUGGAGUAUGUAUAAAAAAUUUUCAAUACAAUAAAUUUUUUUUAUAAAAUAAUAAAUAAAAACUAAUUAAUAAAUUAAGAAUAGGUAAUAAAAAAUGACAAAAAGGAAAUUUUAUCCAACGAUGAGAUUUUAAAAGUAUUUCGAGUAGAGGUGCUUUAAAAAAAAUCCCUAGGUGAGAAAUUUUUUAAAUAUUAUCAGUGUAUUGGAAUAUUUAUAGAGAAUCUUCAAUAUAAUAAAAAUUUCUCUUUUUUAUUUUUAAUUAAAAAUAAUAAUAAAAUUUAAUAAAAUUUUUGAAUAAAAAAUAUAAAUGUGUGCAUCAACAUGCUAGCAUUCGCAUUGCAUGCACGAUAUAAAGGUUUUUUUUUAAAAUAAAUUUGAGCAUCCGAGGAUGAGAUUCUAAGGUAUUCUGAGAAACGAUUCCUAAGAAAUCUCUAGGUGAGAAAAAAUUCUUUCAAUGUUACCAACGUAUUGAAACAUUUUAAUAAUUAUUUCAAUAAAAAGGUUCUAAUUUAUUUUCCUCGAAUAAAAUUUGAAUAAUAAACUUUAAAAAUUUUUUCUAAUAAACGAAAAAAUCAAGAAAAUUAUUUUUCAAACACCGAAAAUGAGACUGUUUUUUUAUCAAAAUCAAAAGGAUAACACGUAGUUAAUUGGUACCGUUAUAAACAGGCGUUGUGGGGGUGCUAAUCCUUCCCCUCACAUAAUCGACUCCCAAACCCAGACUAUUUCGCAGACUAUUUCGUAGACCAUAAAAUUACUCUUUUAAUAAAUUUUAAUUAAUCUUAAAAUCUUAUUAAAAGGAUAAAUUUUAAUAGGUGACCAAUCUCACUUAGCCAAAAAAGAUUGGUGGCGAUUCCAUUUUUCGUUCUUUUAUUUUCGUUUCCAAAUUCGUCAGGCGACUCCAAAGCCGUUGCAACAACUUGGCGACUCCGCUGAGGAUGCUUUUUAUUUUCGAGAGUCAGGCCAAAAUUAACUACGUGUUAUCCUCAAAUUUUGGUUUAAAUAGUCCUAAUAGGUUUCUUAGAUUUUUAUUUUUCACUUUUAACAAAAAAAAAGUCAAGAAAAAAAAAUCAAAAAGAAAAAAAUUUCCCUUACGUUUCUUUUACUAUGCCUCUUGUGCUUUAUUUUUCUAUAUAUAUUACUCUUAAUAAAUUAGGAUAUAUUUGCGUAUACAAUGACAUAAUGCAUCUCAUGUAUAAGCUCUAUAUCUAAGCUACGUCCCUUGUAGAAGGAAGUAGAGUACCUAUACCCUCGUGAGGUGAUAACCUCUACAAUGACAAACGAAAUACUUCUACUCAAAUUGAACCAUUUUCGUUCAUAGCCUAUAAUGGGUGAAGAUCGGUGUCUCUCACUAGUCUAACAUGGACAACAAUGAGGAACAAUUUGGAAACCUUUAGACACGUGUAAAUCCAAACUCAGCAUGUAAUAAGCGUAGAAAAUUAGCCUUAGGUAGAAUAUCUCCACCUUCUUGUAAGAAAUACCUAAGAAUAAAAGUUGUGUGUAAUACAAAACAAAACAAAACAAAAGAAAUCUAAAAACUUACAAAAAAAUGUUUUUUCUCAAAUCGCAUCUUCACACUAACUAAAUUUUGUUUCAUUUUUUUUCCUUUUUGUAUUAAUCAUAUCAUAUAGUUCUGCAUUAAGAUAUAUGCUCUAGGACAUAUUUCUCCCAAGAAGUUUUCAUGGAUCCCAUAGAACUAUAGAUUUGUCGAUCCUCAGUUAGUGUCCCAUGUGAGCCAUAUAAUGAAGUAUAUGUUUGGUCGAAAAAAGCUCAACAAAAGAAUAAAGAUUGCUUGCCUAUUGGCUAUGUGUCUGAGUUACCCAAUAAGGUGCAUUUGGAUCUCACACAGAAUAAUUUAAAAGACUUAGCCACCAUCUAAGGUCAGUUAAGUGAAGAAAGGAAAGAAAGCUUUUGUAAGAAGUACAAAUAGAUUGCAUUCCUUAUUCUAGUAAUGAUCGAUAAACAGCUGAUUAAGGUAGCUAUACAGUUUUGGGAUCCAUCCUAUAGAUGCUUCAUUUUUAAUCAGGAAGAUUUGGUGUCAACUAUUGAGGAAUAUUCAAUUUUGCUUGGGAUAGAACUAUAAUGUCAAGAGAAAGUGUUUACCCAAAAGCUGAAAUCAGGUUAUCAUAAAAAGUUAGCCAAACUUAUAGGGGUUAAAGUAGAAAUCAUUAAUUCCUUCGCAAAGCCUAAAGGUGAACAUCUUGACAUCCAUUGGGACUUUAUCUGAAAUUGUAUUAAGGAGUAUUUAAAUGAUGAUCAAGGCAUUGAUGUGUUUGCUUUAGCAUUGUAUGGCAUGGGUAAUCUUUUCGAAGACUUUGGGUUACAUUAAGAUAACUGUGGUGAAUAUUUUUGAGCAAAUUGAAACCCAAGCAAUUAAUCUCGCACCAGUAGUCUUAGCAAAAACCAUCCGAUCAUUGAAUUUUUGUUGAAGAAAUGAAAACGGAUGGUUUAUAAGAUGUGCAUCGCUAUUUUAUGUAUGGGUUAGAAGUCAUUUCAAAUGUGAGAAGAAUGCAUUUUUAAAGUUGUAUCUUUAAAAUAAGACACCAAUCGAAGAAUUCUACAGAAGUCAAGGGCUGACAUUGAAGACCAAAUAAAAGUGGGUUUUAUUCUUGCGAAGGUUUACUGGGGAUGAAAUUGAAUGGAUGACACCUUGGAUGCCUCGGGUGCCCUUAUUGUAUUGUAAAGGAAACGAGCCAUGGAUACCGCUAUUAGGGCUAUGGGGUAUUGUAAGUUACGCUUCGUUGAUGGUGCUAAGGUAAUUUGGUGCAAAGCAGUUUGUUCCUGCCACUCAUGGUCUGGUUUAAGUAAAAUUCAUUUAUGGGAAACCGAAUCCAUAAAAAAUCUUAGAGCAAUUGACAAGGAUUUAAAUUGUGGUAACGGUCACGUUUUCGAUCGCAUCGUGUUUGUCAUGGUUGCGGAUAUAACGGAGACCUUUGCGGUCAUUGCGACUAUUGCGAUCGUGAAUUUUUUUAAAUUUUGCUCAACUUGCUAUAAAAAUAUAAUAAUUUUAAUUAUUAAUCAUAAAACCUUUUAUUUUAGGAUUUUUAAAGUAAUUUAUAUCAUAUCAUGUGUUUUAUUUAUUUAAGAAAAAAUAUUUAUAGUAAAAUAUUCAUAUUUAAAAAAUAUUUAUAUGAUAAUUAAAAAAUAAAAAGAGAUAAAUAAAUAUGUGAAAAAUAAAUAAUCAUAACAAAUAAUAUAUUUAAUUAUUUAAUUACCAUACUCAUCAAAUUAUUAUCGAACUAUAUUAUGCAUAAAUCAAAUAAUAAGUGAUUAAGUAUUCAUAAAUUAAGUAAGAGCAUUAUUAUUUAUGAGUCAAAAUAAUUGCUUUUUAUGAACUUACAGUAAAUCAAACUUGACAGCCUUCAUGUUAUGGUCAAUUUUCAACAAUAGUAACCCCAAGUCUACUUCUCUUAUCUUUUGACUAAAUUGCGCAAACCCAUACAACUUUUUAUCCCUUCACCUUUUAUUCAAUAAUUUUUUUUCUCCAAACCUUCAUCCUCAUCCCCAUCUCUCAGUUCUCUUUUUAUUUGGUGCGUGCUAUCUGCUUGCUUCUAUAAAUCUCAAGUUUCACUCUCAUCUCUUAUCUCUUAUUUUAAGUCCUAGUAACUCUUGCCUCCUUCUAUCAAUGUAACAUAGCCCAAUCUAAUCCCAAACACAUAAAAUCAUAGCAAAUUUGGAAAUUAAAAAAAAAAGAUAAUUUGAGUGUUGAAUUAAUUGUUUACGUUAAAUUACAUAUACUUGAUUUUGAUUGAAGUUGAACUUGAGAGAAUUGAUUUUUUUGAAAGUUUAAGUUUUAUGGGUUUUUUUUUUUUUUUUUUCUGAAUUUGUAAAUUGAUGUUUAUUUUCUUUCUUGUUGUUUUUAUUUUAAGUUUUUAAGCAAAAUCAAAUGAUUUUUUUUUUAAAUUUUUGAAUGAAAAUAGGAAUAGCGGCAAUAGCGGUAAUAGCGGGUAAUAGUGGUAAUAGCGGGCAAUAGCAGACCGCUAUUACCGCUAUUCGUCGUUAUACCGCAAUUCACGAUCGCGAUUCAUCCACUAUAGACAAGAUUCAAAUUUUCUCUUAUUUUUUCUUCAAUAACGGUGACGGAUAGUGGCGCGAUCGUGAAAUAAUGGUCACGACAUCGCUAUUCGACCGCUAUUUGAAUCCUUGGCAGUUGAUCCAAGUAUGGAAGAGAACACGAAGAAUGAGGUUAGAGCCUCUCAUCGAUAAAGUCACCAUUGAUUAUCAAAUUUGGAAGGUAAAACAGAUUAGAAAUGUAAUACUCUCUCUUGAUGACAGCUCAUAUCAAUCAAUUAAUCUUUCAGAAGAGGUGCAAUUAUCAGAAGUUAAGCUUGUUAAGAAAGAAUUAUAAGCUGAAAAAGAAGAAAUAAGAAGAGAAAAAUUGAGACUUUGUGAGAAUGUGGGAUAACUGAAGUAUGAAACAGAGAUACAAAAGAGCAUAUAAGAAAAAACCUUAAAAGAAUGAGAUGUGGCCAAUAAUGAUUUGAAAGAUCUGCAUAAAGAAAAUAAAAGGUUACAAGUCCAAUUCAAGACUGGAAAUGUCACUAAGUCUUACCUUAGUUGGCAACGUGAAAUGGAUAAGCUCUGAGAAAAAAUGAACUAAUUGAAGGGUAAAGCUCAAGAAAAGCAUGAUGAGAUUACCAAAAUUUCUCAAAAAUGUCAAAAUUGGAAGGGGUUAUACUCUACAACCUGAGCAAGAUUGAUGGAAUGCCAAAAAAAAAAGAAAGGUUGAAAGCCAUGCUUGCAAAAGAGAGAAGAAAGCACUUUGAAGUACUGAAUGAAAAAGAAUCACUUCACUAGGUGAUCCAAGGGUUAGAGAUGCAACUACGAGACCACAAGAGCCAUAUGUCAGUAAUAAUAGAUGAGUGGCAUAGAAGAAAAAAAGAUUGAAUCUUCACAUAUGAUUCAAAAAGAGAUGCUCACAUGAUAUGGAAAACAAAAAGCUUAGAGAGGCAAUAGUACAUAGAGUACCUGACUAAUCAAGUUUGCAAGGCAGUGAAAAAAGCAUGAAAUGGUUGAAAAGGUAGAAGUAUUAAGAAAAGAAGUCAAUCCCAUAAGAGAAUAUGGAUAGCACCUAAUGAAACUUUCUAGAUGAGGUGAAGGACUAUUAUGAACAAGUCAAACACUUUUAUGGAUAUAAUUCUAGGAUGGUAAAUCUCAUGUAAUAAAAGUUGUAUGGAAUCAAUAAAAAUUUUUAGUGUUGAAAUUCAUCCAAGAGCAAAUAUCUCCCACUUGCAUUCAUGAAUCAUGUACAUCAUUUUCAAAAAUAAAAUUUUCAACACAUAACAUUUUGAUUGUUUUCUCUUUUUCAAAAAAAAACUUUGUGGUAAUAAUGGUUUAAGAAUAGCUCGUCCAUAAAAAAUUUUGACCCAACCUACUUGUAAUUCAUACAAUACUAAGACUCAAAUAAGAAUCAUGGAGUAAGAACAGGUCAGUCGAUUUGAUAAAAUUAAGAAAGUUCAAGAACUAAAAGGGGAUCUCGGUACAAUAAUGGAUAUGCUCAAGAAACUUGACAAGAGAAAAGUAGUUGAAAAAAAUCUUAGCUUUCAAGAGUAAUCAUCAGAUACGGUAGAUCUUAUUUACCUUCUAGGGUUUGAGCCAUGACUUUUUGUACAAAUUCUUACUUCCGAUAGAUAUCUCAAUCUUUAUCCAAGAAUGACAUCCACAUUUGUUCCAAGAUAAUUUCAAAAUUUUAUUAAUCCCGUUAUGAUGGAAAAAUCACUUGAGCCAAUUUUAGUUCCUCAUUUGAAUGAUCCCAAAGAGAGAGAAAAGCUAAGGAUAAAGAUACUUGAAAAAGUGAAAGAUACCAGUGCUCGAGAGAAGAUAAAGUUAUUGGAAGAAAGGCUUAGGGCCGUAGAAAGAAUGAAUUUUUAUGGCUCCAAGGAUGCAGCUGACCUUUUGUUUAGUCCCAGAUGUGGUCAUUCCAUCAAAAUUUAAGGUUCCUGAAUUUAAAAAAUAUAAUAGCACAAAAUGCCCAAUGACUCAUAUCACCAUGUAUUGUCAUAAAAUGGCAGCACAUGCUCGUGACGAGAAGUUGUUGAUGCACGUAUUUUAAGAUAGCCUUACGAGAUCUGUAAUCAGAUAGUAUGUUCAACUAGACAUGACUCGUAUUCAUUCCUGACAAGAGCUCAUAAGGGCAUUUCUUACACAAUAUCAACAUGUUAGGGAUCUAGCUCCAGAUCGUCUAUCUUUACAAGGUAUGAAAAAAAAAACAACUGAUAGCUUCAAAGAAUAUGUAUAAAGAUAGAGAGAUAUGACUGCACAAGUACAACCUUCCUUCACUAAGAAAGAAACAACUGUUUUAUUUAUGAACAUCCUAAAAGCACCAUACUAUGAAAGACUGAUAGGCAAUGUAACCAAGAACUUUACAGAUAUGGUGAUAUCAGGUGAGAUCAUUAAAAACAUCAUAAAAAUGGCAAGCUCGAUGCAAGAGAGACAAAUGGAGCAAAGAAAGGUGAAGCUCUUAAAAAAAAGAGAAUGAAGCUCAAACGAUGAACUAUAUGGGGUAACAGUUCAGAGGUUUCACAUUCUACCCUGCACUAAUCUACCAAACCAUUACCUCCUAUAAAUAAUAUUACAUCCACUCCUCAUCCAUAUCAGCCAUACCAGCUAUUACCACAACCAGCGUAUCCACCCCAGUUUCAAUCAUCCUUUCGGAUACCCACCUAUUCUUACAACCGUCCUAUUGCACCUACAAUACCAGAACGAAGACUUUGUUCAAAUAGUGGUCCGAGAGCUUCAAGAAAUAUCCAAUAAAAACUCAUUUUUAACCCUAUUCUCAUGACAUAUACUGAUUUAUACCCUUAGCUUAUUGAGAAACAUUUACUAGCCCCUAUUAUUAUUGAGCCUUUGAAACCUCUAUUUCUUAAAUGAUAUGAUCUUAAUGCGCAUUGUGAUUAUCACUAUAGGAACCCGGGUCAUUCCAUUGAAAACUAUACUGUUUUGAAACAUAAAAUGUAAGGGUUAAUCAAUGAUGUGGUGUUAAAUUUUGAAACCAGCCAACGAGAAACUUCAAAUGUUAAUGGAAACCUCUACCGAAUCAUACUAUACCAUCAAUAAAUGCUUUAAUUGAUGGGUAAGCAAGCUAUGUGAAAAAAUGAUAGAGAAAGUUAAAACUCGGAUGGCUAAGGUGUUUGAAGCCUUGGUUAUGGUUGAUACGUUAAGAUCAAUAGAACUUUAGCAUUACUCUAAAGCAAUUAAUCCUACUGAAAGUUAUAAUUAUCGUAAAGGUGCUUUGGGACAUUCUAUCAAGAGUUGUCAUCAAUUUUAUCAAGAAGUACAAAAGUUGAUGGAUAUGGGUCGGAUAGAGUUUUACGAAGAAAGAGAAAGGUUGACGAAAGUUAAAGUGUCUACCAUUGAUUCAAAGAAUAAGUUUAUGCGUAGACCAAUAAUAAUUUAUUAUGAUGAGAAGUCAACAUCGAGGCCAGAAAAACCUACCUUCCGACCAAUAGUGAUAAUUAAACUUUCUAGCCUUUUUUCAUACCAGAAUGAUAAAGCAGUAUUGUGGAAGUAUGAUUGUGAUGUCGUUGUCAACCCAAAUACUGCGAACAUAAUGGGCGUAGGAGGUAUGACUCAAAGUGGAAGAUGUUAUACUUUAGAAGCUUUAGAGAAAGCUAAAAAAGAGAAAGCAAAGGUGGGAAAAGAAGAGGAAAGUCAAAAUAAUCUCGCUGCAGUCUCAGAAAAAAAAUGUCAGAAGUUGGUCUCUGAGCGUGAAGCUUGUGAAUUCUUAAAGCUAAUAAAAUAUAGCAAGUAUAGCAUGGUAACAACUGAACAAGAUGCCAGCUACGAUUUCACUAUUUUUAUUAUUGCUUAGUUCAGAGUCGCACCAUAAUAUUUUGUUAAAAGUGCUAAAUCAAGCAUAUGUGUCUCACAAUGCUUUUGUUGAAUUUGCGGAACAACUUCUAGGUAAUCUGAUAAUUUCAAAUUAUAUCUCUUUCAGUGAUAAAGGGAUCCCUCCUGAAGGUCAAAAAGUACCAAGGCUCUCCACAUUAUUGUAAAGUGCAAGUGUCAUAUAAUGGCUAAGGUUUUGAUCAAUAAUGGCUCAUUCAUCAAUAUUAUGCCUAUGACUACUCUGGCAAAACUCCCUGUUAAUGGAUCUUAUAUGAAACCUAAUCAUAUGAUAGUCCGAGUCUUUGAUAAGACCCGAAAAGAGGUGUUAAAAGAUAUAGAAAUACCAUUAUAGAUUGGCCUGUGCACUUUAAACGUGAAAUUCCAAGUUAUAGAUAUCUCUCCCUCGUAGAGAAGGUAAAAAAACCCGUAACCGAUGGGUUUCAACUCGACCCGACAUUUUAGGGUCAAUUUUUUUUUUUUGAAAAUCGAGUAUCGGGUCGGGUGGCAUGAAGAGAAAGUCAGGGUCGGGUUUUAGGCAAACCCGACCCGACCCGACCCGAUAUAUAUAUAAAAAUAAUUUUUUAAAUUAUUUAUUUAAUUUUAUAAUUAUUUUUAUAUAUUUUUAUAUAUUUUUAAUUUUAUAUUUAUAUUAAAAUAAUAUUUUAUUAAUUUCGGGUCGGGUCAGAUUGGAUAUGAUUUUAUAUAAUGUCGGAUCGGAUCGGGUCGGGUUUGGGUUUUUCAUGUUUAAAGUCAGGUCGAGUUCGGGACGAGCAAAAACCUGCCUCAACCUGACCCAUUGCCAUCCCUACUCCAUCGUACAGUUGCUUAUUGGACAGGUCAUGGAUUCAUAUGGCACGUGUUAUUCUAUCCUCAUUGUAUCAGAAAGUCAAAUUCAUUAUUGAUAGAAAAUUGACAUGUAUGGUAGGAGAAAAAAAUUUAUUGGUCACCCAACCAGUAAAUAUUCCUUAUGUAAAAGCAGCAAAUGAAGCCUUAGAGUGCUUAUAUAGAUUUUUUGAGAUUGCUAAUGCAACACAUAUGGCUGAAGGAUCUAAAUUAUAUUCAUCACACAUGUCUAUGACUUCUAAAAUGGUCGUUAAAUAGCUUACUAGAAUGGGAUGGCAACCUGAAAUUGGACUAGAAAAGAACCGACAAGGAAUCAUAGAGCCACCAACAGUAUAUGACAAGAAAAACAUAUUCGACUUAAGAUAUAAGCCAACAAAAAGGGACAAAAUGAAAAUGGUGAAUGAGAAAAAACAUAUGAGAGUGGCUAAUCUUGGAGGAUAUGAGCUAGAGUCAGAGCCCAUGAUCAUUCCUUACCUCUAUGAUUCUUUUUCGUUCGGAAGGAUAUAUCUAGCUAGAUUUACUUAAAAGUCUGAAUACAAAAUUUGUGAAAGAGUUUUCAGAGCUAGCCAUUCAAAUGGUGGAUGAUGAAGAAAAGAAGAGACGAGAUGAAGAGCUAUUCAUGCACCAUUGUCUUUCAGAUUUUGAGCUAAAUAACUGAAGAGUCAUAGAACUGCCUGUUAUCUUUAAAACUUCUAAAAAGUAAUGUAUUGUGAAACUUUACAUCCCUAAUUGCUUUUAUAAGCAUUGGGUGAUCUUUUGUGGUGUCUUUAUAUUUGUCAUUUUAAUAAAAGACUUAAAAGAUGCAUCUAUAUUUCUUCUAUUAUUUUCAUCUUUAUUUUGCUUUUCAUUUUUUUUCAUCAUUUUCUUACCAUUCCAUUUUUGUGUGCCAAUAUUCUUUUUAUCUUACCCUUUGCAGGGUCUCAAAUAAUGAACACAAAGAUAAUCAGGGCAAUAAUCUCGAAUUUGAUUUCAAAAUCUUAAUUCAUGUUGAUAAACUUAAUAAUGAGAAAGAUUCAGAUAACUACACACUACCUUUUGAUUUGUUAAAAUUAAUAGAACAUGAAGAUAAGCCAAUUGAACCCUACCAAAAAAUUAUCAAAUUAGUGACUUUGAGAGACGGUGAAAACAAAAGAGAGGUCAAAGUUGGUAUAUCCCUUUUAACAGCUGAAAGGUAAAAGUUAAAAGAAUUACUCCGAGAAUAUGUAGAUGUGUUUCAUGGUCUUACCAGGAUAUAUCAAGACUUAGCAUUGAUAUUUUAAAGCACAGGUUGCCUUUGAAACCAAAAUGCAAGCUGAUGCAACAAAAGCUAAGGCGUAUGAAGUUGAAGAUGUUGCUGAAAAUUACAGAAGAAGUGAAGAAGCAAUUUGAUGCUGAAUUUUUUAAGGUGAUAAAAUAUCCCGAAUUGGUAGCCAACAUAGUGUCAAUUUCCAAGAAGGAUAAAAAAGUGAGAAUGUGUGUCGAUUAUCGAGAUCUGAAUAAGGUAAGCCCUAAAGAUAACUUUUCUCUACCCCAUAUUGAUACUUUAGUAGAUAAUACUGCUAGACACUUAACAUUUUCCUUUAUGAAUGGCUUCUUAGGCUAUAAUCAAAUCAAGAUAACCCAAGAUGAUAUGGAAAAAACCAUAUUCAUGACCAUGUAGGGGAUAUUCUAUUACAAAGUCAUGCCUUUUGGGUUGAAAAAUGCUAGUGCCACUUAUCAAAGAGCAAUGGUGUAUUUUUUUUAUGACAUGAUGCAUAAAGAGAUAAAAGUAUAUGUGGAUGAUAUGAUUGCAAAAUCUCAUGAAAUAGAAGAUCAUGUAGUCAAUCUAAAAAAGUUAUUUGAUAGGUUGAGAAGAUUUCAGCUGAAGUUAAAUCCUGCUAAAUGUACAUUCGGUGUCAAAUAAAAAAAACUACUAGGAUUUGUGGUUAGUGAAAGAAGAAUCGAAGUAGACCCGAAUAAGAUACAAGCCAUCCAUAAUUUAUCUCUUUCAAGUACUUCAAAAGAAGUGUGAAGUUUCCUAGGGAGAUUGAACUAUAUUGCUCGCUUCAUCUUUCAACUCACCUACAAGUGCAAUCUUAUUUUCAAGCUUCUUAAAAAAUAUGAUCUAAAAGAAUUGAAUGAGAAAUGUCAAGAAGCUUUUGAUAAGAUCAAAGAAUACUUGUUAAAUCCACCUGUGUUGGUGCCACCAAUCCUGAGAAAACCUUUGAUUUUGUACUUAACAGUGCACAAAAAUUCAAUAGGAUGUGUGUCAGGGCAAAGAGAUAAAAAUGAUAGGAAAGAAUGAGCAAUUUACUACUUGAGCAAGAAAUUAACUAAUUACUAGUCAAAGUAUUCACUAUUAGAGAAGAUAUGUUAUGCAUUGGCUUAGACAGCUCAAAGGCUCUGACAAUACAUGCUUUAUCAUACUACUUGACUCAUAGUAAAGUUGGAUCCCAUUAAGUACAUCUUCGAGAAGCCCUUAUUGACAAGAAGGAUAGUUUAGUGGCAAGACAUGCUUUUAGAAUAUGAUAUUAUUUAUGUAACUCAAAAGGCUAUUAAAGAAAGUGUAGUAACUGAGUUCUUUACCGAUCACACUGUUGAAAAUUAUGAACCAAUGAACCUAAAUUUUCCUGAUAAAGAUGUGAUGGCUAUUGAAGAAAAUGAACCUAUUGAAGAGUCUUGGAAAAUGUAUUUUAAUGGAACCAUAAAUGUUUUAAGCCAUGGUAUUAGAGCAAUCUUAAUAUCUCUCGAUGGGUAUUAUUAUCCCAUCACAGCCAGGUUGAAUUUUAAUUGCACAAAUAAUGUAGCUAAAAAUGAAGCCUGUGUUAUAGCUUUGCAAGCAAUAGUUGAAAAAAAAAUCAAAGUGUUAAAUGUAUUUGGAGAUUCAACUUUAGUCAUCUAUCAGUUACGAGAAGAAUGAGAAACAAGAGAUUCCAAGUUGAUUUGAUACCAUAAAUACAUCUUUGAGUUGAUCAAACUAUUCAAAGAAGCUCAAUUUAUGCAUCUACCUAGAGAAGAGAACCAAAUCGCUAAUGCACUGGCUACCCUAACUGCAAUGAUUAAAAUAUAUGCAAAUAUUAAAAUCCAACCCAUCAAACUGGAGGUGAAGGAUGAACCAGUACAUUGUUCAGGUGUCGAAGAAGAAAUUGAUGGGAAGCCAUGGUAUCAUGACAUUAUGCAAUACAUUAAAAGCCAACAAUACCCAAAACAUGUAACAAAAAACGAUAAGAGGACUAUCAAAAGAUUGGCUAUAAGUUUUUUCUUAGAUGGAGAUAUCCUCUAUAAAAAAGGUCGAGAUCAAAUACUUUUAAUAUGUGUGAAUGUAGCUAAAGCAAAAAGGAUUAUUGAAGAAGUACAUGAAAGAAUUUGUGAGGCACAUAUAAAUGGUCAUAUGAUGGCAAGGCAAAUUAUGAGGGCCGGUUACUAUUGGUUGACAAUGAAGAGUGACUGUAUUAAUUAUGCUAGAAAAUGCCAUAAGUGUCAGAUUUAUACUGACAAGAUCUAUGCUUCUUUAAUAACAUUGCACGUUUUGGCUCUUUCAUGGCCAUUCUCUAUGUAGGGCAUGGAUUUUAUCGGUCCCAUUACUCUACAAGCUUCGAACGGGCAUAGAUUCAUCUUUGUGAUGAUUGAUUACUUCACCAAAUGGGUAAAAGCUGCAUCAUAUGCUAGCGUGACCCGAUCUGUGAUAUACAAGUUCAUAAAAAAUGAGAUAAUAUACAGAUAUAGGCUUUUAGAGAUAAUUAUUUUUUAUAAUGCCAAAAACUUGAACAACAAAAUGAUUAAUGAAGUGUGCACUCAAUUCAAGAUCCAUUAUCAUAAUUUGGCAUCAUAUCGUCCAAAGAUGAAUGGAGCAGUAGAGGCUGCAAACAAGAAUAUCAAAAGAAUAUUGGAGAAAAUGAUUGAUACCUAUAAGGAUUAACAUAAGAAGUUAUUUUUUGCUUUGCAUGCUUAUAGAACAUCAGUCUCAACAUUUACUAGGGCCAUCCCGUUCUCUUCGGUAUAUGGAAUGGAAGUUGUGUUACCAGUCAAAGUGAAAAUUCCUUCAUUGAGAGUCCUGAUAGAGUUAGAGUUAGAGGAAGCAGAAUAGGUUUAAAAUCGCUAUGAACAAUUGAACCUCAGUGAAGAGAAAAGACUUACAGCACUUUGUGAUGGUCAAUUAUAUCAAAAGAAGAUAAUGAAAGCAUAUGACAAGAGAAUCCAUCAUCGUUGCUUUAGGGAAGAAGAUUUAGUGCUAAAAAAGAUCCUUCCAAAUCAACAUGACAAUCGAAAAAAAUGGACACCAAAUUAAAAUGGCCCGUACGUGAUGAAAAAAGGCUUUUUCUAGUGAGGCAUUGAUUUUAAUAGAGAUGGAUGAAGGUGAUUUACCUACUUUGAUAAAUUUAGAUGUUAUAAAGAAAUAUUUUGCUUAAAAAAAAGUAAAAACAAAAAGUGGAAAAGAAUGAUGUAUCUAAGCUGAAAACCUAAAAACUGUGGCUUGGAUGCAAAGGAAAAGCAUCAUCCCACAACACAAGGGCAAGUAUAGUUUGACGAACUUUGAAGUAUCAAGGAAGUCAUUUGAUUUAGUUUUAGAAAAAGAAUCUGAGAAUAUUUUGUUCAUGAUUAUCUCAUGAUCAUUAUUUGGACACCUUUGUUUCGACUCAAACACUUUUGUUGUAAUGCACUUAUUAUCAGUCUAAUGAAAUAUGCUAUCUUUCUUUUGAAAAUAAUGCCUAUCCAUUCCUUUUUUCUCAUUUGAUAUUUUUGUUCACUGUACAAAUAAGAAAAAUGUGUGAUUACAUUUUGUUUGUCUUUAACUUAAAAUGAUGAAAAGGAAAACAAACAUGAAAGAUCUUAGCAUUACUUUUUAAAAGUUGACAAAAACAGAUGAGAAAGGAUGAGAAAUGCAUGACAAGACAUUAAUGUUGCAAAUUUUUGAAGAAAAAAAGUGUUGUUAGGGAAGAAUACAAUGUUCAGAUGUUAAAAACAGAUUGGUCAUAUGCAAUUGUUCAAGAACCUUUUUACUAUAAUGAACAAUUUUGAUUGCAUUACAUGCAUUGCAUUUAGAGCACUCAGUACAUGCAUUCAUGAGCAGCUAUAAUAAGGACAAAGACUUUCCAUUUCCUAAUGAAAAAUAAGAUUUUGAUAUUUGGAUAAAGAUAAUAAUCAAACAAAAGAUUUCAAAAAAGAGAAAUUUACUUGUUCAAAGAUGAAAACUCGAUUUCGAGAACAGAUGAGAUUUUUUAAAGUUGUUGAGCCUCUACUAAGAAGAGCUUUUUUAAGAUAAAAUUUUAAAGUUGUUGAGCCUCUGCUGAGAGGAGCCUUUUUCAAGAUGAAAUUUUUAAAGUUGUUGAGCUUCUACUUAGAAGAGCUUUUCCAGAUAAGAUUUUUAAAAUUGUUGAACCUCUGUUGAAAAGAGUUUUUUUUCAAGAUAGAAUUUUAAAGUUGUUACACCUCUACUGAGAUGAGCUUUUUCAAGAUAAAAUUUUAAAAUUUUUAAGCCUCUACUGAUAUGAGCUUUUUUCAAGAUAAAUCUUUAAAAUUGUUGAGCCUCUGCUGAGAGAAGCCUUUUUUAAGAUGAAAAUUUUAAAGUUAUUGAGCUUCUAUUGAGAUGAGCUUUUUUUCAAAAUGAGAAUUUUUUUUUAAGUUAUUAAUCUUCUAUUAAGAGGAACUUUUUUUAGAUUUUAAAUUUUCAAAAGUUGUCGAGCCUCAAGUGAGAGGAGCAUUUUUUAUUUGAUGAGAAAAAGUUUUUGAGUAGUUUAAGUUUAAAAAAAAAAUCUAUUUGGAUUCCAGACAAAAUUGUUGUAUUUGUCUUUGCCUUUGCCCUAUUCCUGAUUCUCAACAAUGCGCAAAGAGAGGCAGCUAUAGACAUCAAAUUUGUCCAGAUAUUAAUCAUGUCCCGAUUGAAUAUUUAUUAGAUAUCGGGUUCUCGAACUAAGUUUUGAUUACAAUUCAAUUAGGCUGAGGCCCAAUUUCAAUUCGACUGGGUUUUAGGCUCGAUUUCAAAUCAAAUAGACCUGACUUUGAUUGGGUCCAAAGUCCAAUUUCGUUUUUAAGCCCAAAGCCUAUUUGUUUUUUAUUUUAUUUAUUUAUUAAUUAAACAAAAAUACAAAAUACAAAAAUAUAAAAAUACAAAAAAAUAAAAAAAUAAAAAAAAGGCUGAUGACAGUGGUGCCUUGUAAGGCACCACUGGCCACCCACCCCUCUGAUCACCUAUACCCUACAAACCUUAUCCAUCCUAUCAAUACUCCUGAACCCCCAUGCCAUAGCCCCAUGCCCAAUCAAUUCUAGAUCUCUACAAAAACUAGUUUGAAAACCUAAAAGCUUAGAGAGAGAAGAUUGGAGGCAUUCCCUCUUCUAUGCCCAGACAUUGCUCUAGAACUCAUCAAAAACCCCAGUCACACAGCCCUCGAACACCUAGAAACUCUAAGUCUCUCUCACCCAGAACCCCUAAACUCUCACACCCAAAUGAUCUAGUCCCUACCCUCCCAGAAAACCAGGCCUCCACACACCCUGCCAAGUACCUUCGACUCAAACCAAUCCCCCCACCUAUCAAAAAACUAAAAAACCCGAAACACCCAGCCACAAUUAAAAAACAAAAAUAAUUCAUAAAAAAAAACAAACAGCAGUCCUCCAAUAGGGAGGAACCUAGCGUCGAGAGCUCCCUGUGAACAAAAAAAAAAGAAAAGUCAAUAAGAAAAAAAAAUAUCGAAAGUCAAAAAUAAUAAAAAAAAGGUUUGGCCAAAACUUUGAAAGUCAAUCUAGGCCAUUUGGCACACUUUCAGGUGAAACCAAGCUCAGAUUUGUGCUCAAGCGACAAAAGUGAGUUUUUUAAGAGUUUUUGAGAUUUUUCGGUGGUCGACAACAGGCGAUUGGUGGCCGACCACCACCGAUGGCAGCUGGAGCGACGGACGAUAAUUGGUCGACCAUUUUAGAAAAAGAGGGUCUGAGAGUGUAGAGAGAGAGGGAGAAGAGAAAAUGAGAGAAAUUUUUUUUUUGACUUUUAUAGAAAUCUAAAAACCAAAAUGACGUCGUUUCAUUAAAGGGUCAAAACGAUGUCGUUUUGAGCCGAAAGAUCUACAUGUCAGCCCUUGACUAAACCUGAGGUCCGUGCAAUCGACCCGAUGACCCAUUUCACCUUUAGCUUCUAACCGGUUUAACUGAAUUGGCACCAAAUGGCUAAACCAGAGCCAGAUCGACCCCGAACCGUUGAACGCGACCAGACUAUUGGACCAACGUUAAUCGGUCCGAUUUAGGUAAAAAAAAUUAUUUUUUUGAAUUUUUUUUAUUCUUUUUAAAUAUUAUUUUUAUUAUUUUAAAUUUGUUAUUAAUAUUUAUGUAUGUUAAAAUGAUUAAAUUUGUUAGAAUAAAUUUUUGUUAUUUAUAAUAUUAACAAAUAAAAAUAAAUAAUGAAAUAUAUAGUAAAAAUUUGUGAUAAUUUUGUUAUUUUUAAAAUAACUCUUAUAAAAUAAGAAAAAAUAAGAAAAAAGAAAUUUUUAUCUGACGAUGAGAUUCGAAAGUACUCCGAGUAGUGAUACUUACGAAAUCUCUAGGUGAAAAUUUUUUUUUUUAAAUACUACUAGUGUAUUGGAGUAUUUAUAAAAAAUUUUCAAUACAAUAAAAUUUUUCUUUUUUUCUUAUAAAAUAAUAAAUAAAAACUAAUUAAUAAAUUAAGAAUAGGUAAUAAAAAAUGAGAAAAGGAAAAUUUUAUCCAUUGAUAGGAUUCUAAAAGUAUUCCGAGUAUAGAUGCUUUAAAAAAAAUCUCUAUGUGAGAAGAUUUUUUAAAUGUUAUCAGUAUAUUGAAAUAUUUAUAGAGAAUCUUCAAUACAAUAAAAAUUUCUCUCUUUUUAUUUUUUAAUUGAAAAUAAUAAUAAAUAUUAAUAAAAAUUAAUAAAAUUUUUGAAUAAAAAAUAUAAAUGCGUGCAUCAACAUGCUAGCAUUCGCAUUGCAUGCACGAUAUAAAGUUUUCUUUUUGAAAAAUAAAUUCAAGUGUCUGAGGAUAAGAUUCUAAUGUAUUUCGAAAAGCAAUGCCUAAAAAAUCUUUAGGUAAGAAAGAGUUCUUUUAAUGUUACCAACAUAUUGGAACAUUUUAAGAAUUAUUUCAAUAAAAAGAUUCUAAUUUAUUUUAAUUGAAUAAAAUUUGAAUAAUAAACUUUUUAAAAAAAUUUCUAAUAAAUGAAAAAGUCAAGAAAAUUAUUUUUGCAAACACCGAAAAUAAAACUAUUUUUUUAUCAAAAUCAAAGGAUAACACGUAGUUAAUUGGUACUGUUAUAAACAGGCGCUGUGGGGGUGCUAAUCAUUUCUCAUGCGUAACUGACUCCUGAAUCCAAACUGUUUCGCAGAUCAUAAAAUUACUCUUUUAAUAAAUUUUAAUUAAUCUUAAAAUUUUAUUAGAAUGAUAAAUUUUAAAAAGUGAUCAAUCGCACCUAACAAAAAAAAUGGUGGCGACUUCGUUUUUCGUUCUUUUAUUUUCGUUUUCAAAUUCGUCAAGUGAUUCCAAAACUAUUACGACAAUUAGUGCUAUUUUUAUUGAAUUGUUUUUGUCUUAAAUUUUGUAUUUCCUCACAUGAUAUACAUAGUUAUUGAAUUAAUUCACAAAUGAUCUAUUAAUUCAUGAGUGAGUAAAUUAAUUCACAAAUGAAAUAUUAUAAUUAUAAUUAAAAUAAUAAUUAUAUGCUAUAUUAGGGAAUACAAAUAUUUAUUGGGUAACUUGGCUGUCCAUAUGGGCCACAAAUUUCUAGCCUACUUUGACAAGAACAGGAUGAAUUAUCAUUGAUGUCAUUUUUUUCUAUUGUAAUUAAGAAUGUUUUCCUAAUUUCAACUAAAAAAAUUGCAGGCCAUGUCUUUGUAAUUUUGUUUCAAUGCAUACUUAAUUAAAUUUUGGAGGGGAAUGUAGAAAUCAAAAUAAUUUUGAAUAGAUGUCUAAAUUUGGACCUAAUUAACCAUUGCAAGGUUUUUCAAAAAAAAUACAUCUUGGUUUUUUUUUUUUUAAUUUUUUGGAGUAUCUUUAACAUCGAAAGCGAUGUAAUGAUUAUAUAAUUAUAUUUAAAUAAUAAAUAAUUUCAUAAUCGUACAUGAGUGAUUUUAAAUUAUUAAUAAUAAUUAAAUAUUCUUUUAUAUGAUAAUCUAAUUGUCAUUAAACAAAAAGAAAAUUUUAUCAUCAAAGAGAGAAUGAUUUUCAAAAUCAUUUUAAGAUAAAUUUAUUUUUGAAUUGGUAUCCAUCAAAAAAUGUUUCUCUGUAAAUUUUUUUGAAAAACAAACUUUCACUUUUUAAAUCAUUUUAUACAAGACAAUUUAUAAGACUUUAAAUAUGAACAUGCUAAUAAUUUUGAAUUAUACUCAUCAGAACUUAUUUAUACUUUAUAAUUUUUUUUAAAGAGUAUAAAAGUCCUUGAACUAUAAUUAAAAAAUCAUUCCAACCUUUAUUUUUUAUUAUAAUCAAUUAAUUCUUUCAACAUUUAUUUGCAUUUAAUUGAAUUUUAUUUGGAUAAAAAAGUUUUAUUAAUUUUUUUUUGUUAACUAAAAUAAAAUUUCACGUGAAAUUUAUAAAAUAGAUGAAAAGUUAUUACAAAACAUAAUUAUUAUAUUUAAAAAUUAAAUAAAAUAAUUUUUUCUCUAUUUUCUUUGUUUUUUUCUCUCUAAAAUUUUCAUAAAAAAAUUAAUUGAUUAUAAUUCAAAAAUUAAUUAUUUAAAUUUUAUUGCGUAAUUAGAUUUUAUAAAUUUAAAAAUUCAAUUUUUAACUGAGUCAGUAAUAAGAUUUAGUUCAAAGUUAAUCCCGGCUGAUAUUUAGGAUUUCUGUCAGCACCUUUACUUGGUGUGGAUGUUCCGUAAAGAAGCGUGGGGGUAUGGCUGUAUAUGUCAAGCAUCUUUGGUUUUGGGUAUGCAGAGUAUUGGUUUUAGUGAUAGGGUUUUUUAUGCCUCUGGAUGUUUUGGGAAUUGGAAAUGUUCUUUUGUUGUUUGGUUGAAAGAUAUAAUGGUGGAGCUCUUGUUUGUGCUUUUUGAAUAGUACUAUGAGUUUGAACUAUUGAAUGGUACUAUAAGUUUGAACUAUAUUAAAGUAUCUUCUUUUCCUUCUUGGGUGGGGUUCAAUCUGAGGCCGAAUCCUACCUCUCUGACUUAAUUAUAAGCCGGGAAUAUUAGAGUAUAACCUAGUUUUUCGAAUUCCAUCAGGAUUCAAGAUACAUUAUUUGGUAAAUUUUAUAGGCAUCAUCCACAGUUUUCUACCUAAAAUCCUUCUUGCAAUCCACUGUUUCUACUGUAAAGGAUGAUUUCCAAGGGCCAUUAUCAGAUUGCCAGAAUUUGAUUCCUGGCAAAUGAAGGACUAAAGGAGACAAACUUUUGUGGAUGGGUAUUUAGCUACAGGAAAAUUUUGACAUGACCAUACAACAUUGCUACUUUUUUUUUAUAUAUCUUCAACAAUGAAACAGCUAAUAUAAUGUUAAAUCUCCUUUUCUGGGGCUUUUUUGGAUGAAUGUAUAUUCUUAUUGUUUCCUCUCAAAACCCUGCAUUAUUAUUUUUCUUUUAUUAUUAAAAAUCUGAAUCUGUUUUGCCUCGUGAUAUUUGAUUGUUUGUCCUGUGUAGAGACGGAUGCGGGAGUGGUUGACGUUGCUUCUUUAAGUGAUGAAGAAUGGAAAAUGAAGCUUACACCUGAACAAUUUUACAUUACUCGACAACAAGGGACUGAGAGAGCUUUCACUCAGUAUGUUCUGUUCAUAGAAACUGUACUGCUUUUCCAGGUUCAACUUCUGAAAAUGCCUUUUUCUUUGUAAGAUAAUGGUUUUAACUAUUUUCUAAGGAUUCCACUAGUCUGGGAGAUUACAGUUUCUGUGUAUUUUCUUUGCCGAGCUAUAAGAAUUUCUUUCUAGUACUGAUCUACUUGACUGCCCUUUUUUUGGUCUCCUGAAGGUCGUUUUUAGUUGUCCCACCUAUGCAGGUGUCCUAAUUUAAAUACAACAUGUACGUCAGAAUCUAAUUUCUCCUACUUUUCUCUCAUUUGAUGAAUGACUUCAACCUUUUAAUGAUGUUAAUCCUUCUUUUCUCCCUACAAAGUGGGUGGCAAACACUAGUAGAUUGUGCAGACACAUGCAUGUGAGCAUUUUUCCUAUUAUCGGCGCAAAUUAAACGGAGUACCAGAGAGUUUGUUGCUAAAUUUCAUCUUUUUUGAAUAGGAAGAUUACAUGGUAUGUACUUGAGCUGACUUGGUUAUUAAGCUGCUUUUGACGUCACUGGUGAUUUAUUCUUUAGAAAGAAAUUGAGGAAUUCAGACUUCAUAAAAUAAUCGUGCAUGAGCCACCUCCCAAUUUCUGUUCAUACUUUAUUGCGGUUUAGUUGGUUAUUACUUAUGAUAUUUACUUUUUAGUUAGAGUUUUAAAGUAAAAACACACAAUAUUAAUCAAAAUCAUGUUUCAUCAAAACAAAAUGGUAAGAGAUAAAUCCAAUUCAAAUGUAAUAAAUUCAUACAAGAGCAAAGUCAGGCAUUUUAUUAUCCAUGAAAGUUGAAUUUUUAUUUUUUAUGCCUUCAGUAAAUUGUUUGCUUUUGUAUCCAACACAUUCUUUGGACAUUUUGGUUCUGGAAGCAAAAAUUAAGGACCAAAAGUGAUGGUGAAAGGAGCCAAAUUUGUUUUUGGCCUUCCAAAAGUUCUCUUUUAGAAAGGGAGCUAUUUACAAUGCAAUUCUGAGGAUAUCAUCUGCUGUCAUGUAGCUGUGAACAUAUAGUCAUUGUUUAAAUCGGCCUCUGAACUCAAAAUUGUUCAAUUCGGUAUCUAAACCUUAAAAAUAGUGUGCAUUUUAGUCGGAUAACUGAUAGGAUUGAUCAACUUGCUAAGUAGAUAGAUGGGUUUGUUACCUAUAGAACAGUAAAAAGUUGUAUUUUAUUAAACACUAUAUGUAAGCAUUUUGAUGGCAUGUAACGCCUAUGUGGACUGGAAACUUGCCUGGAUUAUAACACAUAUUUCACAUGCCUGAUGAAUAUAUUCAUGCAAUAAAAUAUCUGCUUGAGAUCCAUUUUAUUGCGAGCUGCAACGUACUACCUGACACCUUGUGUGUAAUUUCUUUUUUUUUUUUUCUCCAAAAAGUAUGACUAGCUCUUCUAUAUAUAAUUAAGAGAAACACCAGUCAGUGCUGUUAGAAAUUCUGCUAUACCCUUUGUGCAUAUAACCACAUUGCUCAGAAUUUCAAAAUGUAGGUACCAGAUGGAAUAUUUUCUUUUUUUAGUAUUAAGGAUCAUGUUACUUGUUGAUUAUUAGUGUAGGGGUCAUUUAUAGCUUCAUUUCUUUUGUUAUAACAUAAAAACUUACCACCAAUUCCUGUUGGUCAAAGUGGCAAGGAGCUCGGUUCCUUUAAGUAAAAUCUCAGUUUUGAAUCUUGUGAAUAGAGAAAACAGGUUUAGGAGACUUUGCCUCUUUUAUAGGGUCCAACUUAGCUCGACUUCAAAUUAAUCGGAGUUCAAAAUGACUACUUGACACCGAGAGGUCCCAAACCGAAAAAAAAAAAAAACAUGAAAACCUACCUGUAUGGUGGCUGUAAAAUGUCAAUAAAUUACCUAAAUCCUGCCGAGUCCCAAUCUAAUUAACCUGCACUAUCAACACUUGGUAUGGAACAUGUAAAAAUCAUUUAGCUCCAUUUGAUUAGUGCUUUUGUUUUUUUACUUUUUGCUAUUUGUCUUUUAUUUUUUGCUUUUUCACUUUGUAUUGAAGAAAACAAAAAGCAAACAACAAAAGCAUAAAUCAAAUGGAGCCUUAAAUUGGAGGUGCUAAAAUACUUGGUGGAUGUAAAAUGAUUGUUUUCAAUCUGUAUCUGCAUUGAGCUAAAUGCUAUUGAUAUGAUCUUCAUUCUAAGUUAUUAUGUUUGCACCUUUUUAAUGUGCAGAGAAUACUGGAACAUAAAAACACCCGGAACUUAUCAUUGCAGAUGCUGUGACAGGCCUCUUUUUGAGUAAGUCUUUUGAUUUUGUUAGGAAUUUCCAAGAACUAAAAUCAAUUGAAGCUACAACAUUCGAAACAUUUAUCAAUACGUGAUCCUCUCCUCCAGAUCAUUGACUAAAUUUGACAAAACUGUUGGCCUUCAUAUUAUCAGCCUAUAGGAAACAAUGUGAAGUCAAAAUUAGAUCUGUCAAUAAUUUUUAUGCCUAGUGAAGAAGUUCUGUGUGCUGCUAGCAAUGCUCAUCUAGGCCAUGUCUUUGAUGAUGGUCCUCCACCUACAGGAAAGCGUUACUGCAUCAAUAGGUAAAACAUUUUCUUUUAAUGCUGGGUUGUAUCUAAUUUUAUGCAAUUUAUUCUUUAUGGACUUCCUUUGAACUAUGGUUAUUUUGCAGCACUUCGCUAAAACUGAAACCCAUGUAAGAAAUAGUACUAAGCUUGCAGUUGCAAAGCACAGAUGAGACACUUGUGAUUGCGAAAAACGAAAUAAUAUUUUCACUGACUUUGGUGUAUCAUGCUCAAUUAAUUAGGUGUGAUAGCAAAUCCUUGUAAUUUUGUAGUAUUCAUGUAAGCCUGAUGGCGCAAGGGCAUGAUAAAAUCCUUGCAACAAGUUGUUGGCAGUAUAAAACCCUUUAAAAAUACAUAUGAAGUUGUAUAAAACAAGUUAAAGAUUAUUUUAUUUUGUUAAUAUCUUGAAGAUAAAACAUCUUGUUCAAGGUUGAUCCAAGUAAUAUAUAAGAAAAAAUUUAUAAUUAAUAACACAUUAAACUAAAUUUAUUUGAAAAAAAUAUUUUAGCUAACUUUAAUCAUUGCUUAUAUCAAACUUUUAGAAAUGAAAUGUUACAUGAUAUAAACGAAAGGUUACACACAAAAAAGAGAGAUUUGUUGAUGAGUACAAUAAAAACAUUUUCUAAUAAAAUUUUACUAACGAAUGUUUUUAUAUAUUUAUAAAAUUAAUUAACAUAUUUUUUAUAAUUUUUAUAAUAAUUAUGGUAAUAAUUUUAAUGUAUCUAAAAAAUUAUUUUCGUAACAUGAGAAUAUUAAAGAAUGCCCUAGACAAUGGUUUAGCAAAAUUUUAAUUGAAAUAAUUUCAAAGAAUGUUUUAAGCUGAGAUUGGGAUGAUUAAAUAUAAAGUACAAAUAGAUAAAACUUUAAAAAAAUUUUAAGGUUAAAAUAAUAAAAAGUUCAUAAAUUUUAUUCCUUUAUUUAAAUAAAUUUUUUUAUUUUUAUUGAACUUAAAUUAUUUUUUAUUUUUUAUUUUACAUUCAAAUAAACUUUUAAAUUUUAAUUUUAUCUAAAUAAAUAUUUAUCAUCUAAUUUGUAUUUAAAUAUAUUAUUUAAAUAUAAUAAAAAUAUAAAAUUUUAUCUAAAUAAAAUAAUAAAAUUCGAAAAAUUUUUAAAUAUUUUAGUCAAAAUUUAACUGACAUAUAUUAUUAUCAUAAUAUUUUUUUAGUAGCAAAUUUAUUGGGACCAAAAGAAAAAAUUAAAUAAAAGAAAAAAAAUCAAAUGCAAAACGUAAUAUGUGAGCAAAAUCUUUGUGUAUGUUUGAUGAUAACGGCAACUUCGUUUCUUAUCAGAAAAGAAGUGUCAGUAAUACAUAUUUGGAAAAAUGAAACAGUAACUUUUAUAAAUCCUGUGAUGUGAAAUAUUUUAUAUCUAUAAAUACACUUUGACAAAUUUCAGACAUUCAAAACCAAAACAAAACUAAGUUUUUUUUUUUUUUUAAGUUUUGAGUUAGUUUUAAUCUUUGAUUGUUUAGAUUAUCAAAAUGUCAGAAAAAGUCAUUUUGUUGGAUUUCUGGCCAAGUCCAUUUGGAAUGAGAAUGAGGAUUGCUUUGGCUGAGAAAGGAAUAAAGUAUGAGUCAACGGAAGAAGAUUUGAGGAACAAGAGUGAUUUGCUUUUGCAGAUGAAUUCUGUUCACAAAAAAAUCUCUGUUCUUAUCCAUGGUAAACCUAUUUGUGAGUCAUUCAUCCAGAUUCAGUAUAUUGAUGAGGUUUGGUGUCAUAAAUCUUCUUUGCUUCCUUCUGAUUCUUACCAGAGAGCUAUGCUAGAUUCUGGGCUGAUUUUGUUGACAAGGUUGCAUACAGGCAUGCAAAUAUGAAUAAUGCCUAAUUCGUUACCAAGGCAUCUUUUCUAGGUCCAGAAAGACCUCUUUAUUGACAAAGGAGCCAUAAACUUAAGUCUUUGGUUUCCAAACUAGAUAAUCUUUCUGUAUUGAGCUAUUAAUGUGAUGCCAUCAACCUGGCUUUUGGUCCUUGUUCUUGUUGCCCUGGUAACACCCAACUCCCGCCUUAAACUCAAAGCCAGACUGAACCUCGACAAACAGAACCACAGAAACUAAAAGAGACAGAUAAACUAGCAGAGCCCCCACACCAACCCUUCAAAUCAUCCAAACGCCCUCCAAUAUCAAGCACUCUGCUGGAAUAAAUUUGGAUGUUGUUUGUUGAUGGCUCUGGUGUAGGAAUUCUAUGUAUUAAAAUUGGUUUAUUAGAGCAAUUAAGAUGGCUAUCCCAUGCACCUCAUUUAAAGUUAUAAAAGUAUUAUUAGUGUGCUAGUAAUUGGUUCCACUAUUACUCCAAGGAACAUGAUAGUAAUUAUAAUGUGCAAAAUAACGGAAUGAGCUCAGUUGCAAAUAAAAUGCAAAUUUUAAGCGCUAAAGUGCCUCAUUUUCACAGACCUUGAACACUUUGCUUUCCAAAUCAAGUAAUUGAGGGUGACUUUGUGAAGAAUAGAUCUUAAUCUUAGUCUCCAAGUCUUCUUUCAUGGCUGAACUGACUGCUCUGUUGUUCCUGACGAGCCCGUUUAUCUAUAAACAAAUUUUACUAGGGCAAGUCCAUGCGUGCUUUGAUUGAUUUGGUCAGACUUUGAAUUUUGGGGGUUUUAUAUAUAUAUAUAUAUAUAUAUAUAUAUAAACAGUGUACUCAUUAAGCAUUAACUGCUAAUGCUGGUAUGAUAACUUUAAUCAAUAGGAUGAUUUGAUUUGAGAUACUUUGUGUUUCAUUUUUUUUUUUUUUAAUUUUGAUAAUUAGAUGCAUAAUCAAGUCAAGUUGUGGUGAAUAUUAUUUUUUCGUAUAAUUGAUAUUGAAUCAAGCAGAAACAGAUAACAUUCAUUCAUUUUCAUAAAUCUUCUCACCUGUAUAGACAUUUUUCUAGAUAAUAUAUAACAUAUUUUGAAUAAUUAUUGUUUAGAUAGUAUAUAAGAUGUUUUGCCUAAAUUAUUGUUUCAUAAAUAUGCAGAUGCCUGACAUUGGGAGGAAAAUAUGGGCAACUAAGGGAGAAGAACAGGCAAAUGCAAAGAAAGAAUUUAUUAAGUGUCUAAAGCUGGUGGAAGGAGAGCUUGGAGACAAGCCUUACUUUGGCGGAGAAAAUCUUGGUUAUGUA